rnacentral:lncRNA from 1 species
UCCUGCAGCAUCUUCACUGCUCUGGUUUAAGUUUUGGUUAGCCAAGGCAGCUUCCCCAAAGUUAUGGAGCCUCCGACCAAUGAGAUAACGGUCAUCACGGAUGGAGUUGUGAAGGUUUCUGAACCAGACAUGGCAUCUCUUUGCACAAAAGCAGAAGAGGCUCACCGAGAGACAACCUAUCCAAGCGAAUCUGUAGACCGCCGAGUUCACAACUAGCGGAUAGCCGAGCAUCGGGAACACUCCUCUCGCCAGGACGUAGGGAACGCAUAAUGCUGUCAGAAGCUUCAUCACGAUAGGGAAUACAAUCUCUCUCAGUACCCACAAACCUUGAAGCCUCGAGAAUCCAUCUUCUCUUACUCUCUCAAACUUUGCUCUCCAGCUAUCAUCCAUUAUCGGAAGCAUAUGAUCCAACAUUACCUGUCCAUUGUCGUCGUUAUUUUAGUGACAAGAUAUAUAAAUUAUUAUGUGGUAAAAAAAAUAGCUAACGGAAAUAAGUAAUUACCAGUCUAGUCCAGAUCUUCAAAAAGAUGAGGCCAAGAGCCCAGUCUUGAUACAGAAGGAAGACAGGACUUUCAUCUACUGGGACUCUCAUUGGGACGAUCACCAAAAGCUCAAACAGAAGUCCGAUUAGUACCGGAAUGAUAAAAACCUGUUCAGUCACCAAUUUCAAAACACAGAAUCAAGAGUCAAGUGAGUUUGGAGUAUCUCAAAUUCAGAGUAGAAAACAACAGCGCAAAACCACUUACCCAUAUGGCUAAUAGUACCGAGCUCUUGAAGACAAUCCCACACCAUUUCCAUAUUUGGUUAAGCAAGACUGAAGUCCUCCUCGACUUGACAUGCUCGAUAGCAUACCUUCCCCCAGAUAUGGCAGUCCAAAAGGCAUAUGUGCCAAUAACGAAAGCAUACAAAUCUACAGAUUUAGGAGAAGAUUCUGUUAAAAUUGUGAUUCCUUUUAGAAGAAUGAAGCACAAGAUCAAAUCUAAACACAUAUUUACCAUUGCAUUUGAUGCCAUGCGUUAUUGGGAGAACUGGGAUGGCACUGAACAGAGCACGUCCGAGAGAAACUGGUACGACUAUUAAUGCCGAAUUGAAGAGAAGAAGUGUAACCCAUGCAUAGAGUAGUAGAAGGAUUAUCCGGAUCACAAAGUUGUACCUGCUAAAAACAUGACGUUCAUUUCAGAAUCUUCUAUAUAUACCAAGAAUGUGAAAAUUCCAAACAUCAAGAAAAACUUUAAUGCCAUUCUAACGCAAGUAACUUACUCUGUAUCAGAUUGUUCUUCAUCAUCUUCAUAUUCCUCACCGGCGUUGACAUUAUCAGCACGGAGGAGAUUUCUGUUAGGGUCAUCAGCUGCUGGAAGCGCAGCUAUGGCCCUGUCAGGUCCACCGACCUGUGCUCUGUUCUGCCUUCCUGGUUCACCAAUUCCAUUGUCCUGACCAACGUUGUCCUCUGGUCUUGGUAAGAGGAAGUCUGUCAAACCAAGGGCCCAACCGACGGCGGUGAACCAGCAGCGUAGAAGGGACUUGAUUGUGGUCCGAAGUCUGAAAUGCUCGAUGAUAAAUGGUAUGCAUAUUUGAAACAGAAGCAUGUCGGCCGGAAUCUCAGUGAAUGGGUCGGAUACACUGCAUAGAUCCAAAGUUAGAAAAGUUACUCAAGACAAGAUCUCCAAAAACGAAGAUAAGCCAAUAUUACUUACGAUAUGUCGAGCGGGAAGAUUGAAGGAGCCAUCCGGAUAGCUAGCUUGACUGGUAAAAAUACCAGCAUGACAAUCAAACUACCGUAAACUGCAACAGAUAACAAAACCCUCCGAGCAUGCUUGUGUACUGGAUCAUCAAUCAAAUCUCGGAAUGGAUUAUAAUUAGGAUCUGCGGGAUCACGAAGGAAAUACAAGACUCCAGGGCGAAGAACCUGCAAUUUAUACAAGAGUAGAAAACAAUAUUAGAUAGCAGAAGAGAGAUAAACCUCUUUCUAGAAUAAAAUUGUGACCAAGGAAAACACAGUACCCCUCGAAGAAGGCUAACGAAGAUGCUUAUCUGCAGCAUGUACAUGAUUCCAACAACCCAGUGAACAAGUGAGCUUGCCAGUGGAGAAAUUGAUAGAAACUGUACUCUGUGAGACAUUGUUUUACCAAACAUCCUAACCGUGCAAACAUCUAGCCACCACCCACACAUCAGCGGGAAGACUCCAAGCUCGAUGACCAAAAGGAAUGCAACUUUGAUCAUAGUCAUCAGAUGCCUCAUUGCUGCCAAGAACUGUCUGAGGAGGGAUGGUACGGCUUCUACCAUUGAAGCGAUACCAUAAAAUCUCCCAACAGUCAGUGGCUCACCCUUGGCAUAACGAAUCAGUGCAAUGAUUCCGAGGUAAAGGAACACCAGCAAUACAAUAAACAUGUACCCAACAGUCAGCGUUGUCACAUCAGAUAGCUUAGACGAACCUGUAACAGAACCUUUUAAGAGAUCAGCAGCAACAGAUAGAGUACUGUUUGCCCCGUUCAGUUCACUUCCGUUGACUUUCACCAUCUCUGAGAGCUGACCAAGCAGUCCAUUUUCUUGGCCCUCGUUAGUCAAAUUUGAGACAGAAGUCAACGCACUCUUCAGAGUUGUAUUUUCCAACGCUGAAUCUAUAAAAUGCAUUGAUGCGGUCAGGGCAGGGCCUCUAGCAGCAGCAAAAAGCCACGACAGAUGAUACAAUAUAACCCGUCCUAAUGUGAAGGGCACAAAGAUCACAACCCCAAGGAAUAUCAUAUUGCUUGCCAGAACCUGCAAAAAAAAUGAAGAUUUUAAUGUGAGGACAAAAGAGAACGACAAGAGAAAACAAAAUAAAUCCACAGGAGGAGAAACAUUCAACUUACAGUAAAGGCAUUCUCAACCAAAUGAAACACCGGACCCUGCAUUCCAACCAGCUCAUCAAACGGAACAUCUUCAGCACCAUCAGCGUCAUCCAAACCAUCAAACAUUUGUUCAACCUGAGCCUCGAGACGAGCCGCUUGUAUAUCCAACCUCGCCAGAACAUUUUCAGGAUUCCUUCUAUUGACCUGACCAACACCAGCACCCUGAUCUCCAGCAUCUUCAACAUUCCCCUCUCCAGCAAGGUUCCUAUUACCCUGCCCAGCAGGUCUCCUCGCAGCACGAACACCGUUCCUCUCCCCUUCAUCUUCUCUCUCAUCCUGUCCUCCCAACUCCCGCAAAUGCCUAAAGUAAUCCCUCAACGAAGUCGCCCCGAGGAAAAUGAAGACAAUGCUAGCCGAGAGCAAGAACCCGUGCAAACAGUCGGUGAGAAUCACUGUGGUAGAGAUGUGGCUUAAGAACAGCCUCUGAGCUUCCCCAAAGCUCCUCACAAAAGCCAACCGCCAAAUCCAAAACGUAAUAAAGGGAAUGGUGAGAAGCCACACGGAAAGCACGAAACUCAACCGGAGAAAGAACUGCAACACGUGGCAAGCUUUCAUCGCGAUCCCAACAACAAACUCCUGGAAAGGGAGCCUCGUUGGAGCAUUCUCAGCAUACACUGGUGAGAACGAAAACGGAUGCUUACAAACCUACAAAGAUUAAAAUCAACAACAAGAUUCAAUCAUAUCAAUCAUGAACUGUUAUAUUAAUUUCAAUCAAGAACCAUAAGCAUCAAUCAUGAACUUUAUAACUUAAUCCAAUUAUCUUAAUUCUGCAAAAUCAAGAACCCUAAAUAAUCAAUUUAUAAACCAAACGGAGACCUCGCAUUGACGAGCGUUGCUAUGAUUAAGCCACUGAAGGAGGCAAUCCUGAUGCACGAACUUGAUGCUCCCGCUGCAAGCGCACGGGUACCGAAGCGGAUUAUCCGCUUCCCCCGGGUUUCUGCAGAUCCUGCAAACGUCCUCCUCGUCUUCGUCAUCAUCAACGUAUCUGGAAGCUGUAGCCGUCAAAGACGCGGGAUCCACGGCGGAGAAGGCGGUGGGAGAGGCCUGGCUCGAAGCGGAGAGGGAGGAGGAUGAGGGAGAAGAUACCGACGAUUCCGAUGCGGCCUCGGAAGAAGCGGCCGCCCCGCCAGAGAUGGAUAGCGAUUCGGAUUCAGCAGAGGAAAUCUCCAUGGAGAAAUCCGAGCUUGGGUUGACGAAGGGCUCUCAGGUGGUUGUGAUGCCGGCGGGUGAUUUGGGGGAAACGAGUCGACUCGGUGAGUCUUAUGGGAAACGACGAAGGCCACCGAGGGAGAUUGAUUGGUUUUAUAUGGAUGGACUAGACCGGGACCUGUAAACCGGUGAUUUGACGGAAUUGCCCUUCCCUCUUGUUUAAUUAUCAACGGUUUUUGUCGGUUACGCGUCUUUGGCAUUUGGGCUUGUGGGCUGAAGAAAUAACAAAAAGCCCAUAGUAGUUGAGGCCCAAACCUGAUCAGCUUGAGUAUACGGUGGAGAGAUUCGACAGAGAGACAAGGAGGAGACAUGGGUUCGCUGUUCACUCCUCUCUCUGCUCUCCCUUCGCGCCAUUUCAGCUAGUGUCUCGUGUUGCUCUUCUGGUAAGCUCGUUUGACUUUAUAAGUAUCUAACUUUGAUGUCAUUGUAGAGAUGCUGAAACGGUCGAUUGUUUGUUCUUGAGCUUGAGCUUUGUGUUUUCAAAUGAAGGGACUUUUUAUUGUUGUGUAACCAGGUUUUAUUUCCAUGUGAUAUUUGAAAGAUCAUGGUAUGUAUCUCUAUACUCUAUUGCUAAAUGGUAUGAAGAUGAACAUAUCUAACGUCAUUUUGAACAAAAUAUAUGAGAUGAAAAGAAAAACUUGUUUACUACUAAAAAAGAGUUUUUCAAUGUCUUUGAUAACUAAAGAAAAUACUAAUAAUAAAAGAAACAAAUCGAUCAGUCUCUCAUGUGCUUUUCUCCUCUCUCGUCGGGUGGGGUGUGAAGUCUGCGGACGAGUCCUUCUGGAGUUCGUUGCUUUCUAUCAAAUCCUCUCAUGCAUACAAAUCCUGCACAUCACACCAUCAUAUUGUUAUUCAUAUAUUUCAACUUAAUAAUUAAAUAAAACUCAAAACUAGACAACGUUUGUUACCAGUCCAAAAACAUAGUCGAGUUCUUGUUUCCUCUAACAACCGAAAAAUGGAUGACACUGAUGAACCACAAUAUAGCGCACGCUUCUCCAACCCAUUACAUAACUCUCUAGAAAACACAAUAGGUUCUAAACUCGUCUCAUGAUCUGCAAAAACCUGGAAAAAAACACUUUUCAGUUCAGUGAAAACCAAUACAAUGCAGAAAAAAUAAACUUACCUCAUUGGUUUGAAAGUAUGUGCCAUUAAGUGGGAAACCACCUUGCAUUGCUGUUCUACAAGGGAUCUGUUGAAUUUGCAUUGUGAUCCAUGUAAGUUCAAGUCUAUAGAGUUAUUAGAAUGAUAAGUCUUUUAAUUCAGUUUUUACCAGAAUUGUUCCACGGUAAGUGUUUGAACUUUCUUCUCGUAUAUUCCAACAAUAAGAACAAGUCUUGAUCACGCAGAGGUUUGUUCCAUCUGAGUCACAUUUCUUCUUUGGUGGCAUGAACGAGUUUGACGUUUCACCUAGAAAGAAAAAGUCGGAUAAAAAGCUUAGUUUAUGCUUUAUGUGAAUGAUAAUAAAGUUUUGUGUGUUCGUACCUGGUUGCCAAAGAGCAAGAAGAUAUGGACUAGGAUCAUCACAUUCUCUUCUCUCAAACUAUAACAUAAAAUAAAAUAAAAUUCAAAUAUAAUGCAAAUUUUUAGUAUUAUAUUGUAUGUAUUUAUACUUACAUCAUUGAGAAGCUCAUGUUUAUCAGGAAGCACAUAUCUGCAAAACAGACAAUUAGAUUACAUAAACUCCCAUAGUAUGAUAAUCUUGCAAACGUAUAUAAAAAAAAAUACUUACACCACAUGUUCAGUUCUUAAUCUGUCAUAAUACUUUGUUUUACGAGGCAGCUUCAUUGGAAUGCAUGCAUUCUCCUGGGUCAUGACAGCUAAUGCUUUAGAAAUCUCGUCAUCAGAACCGUUGAACAUCGUUCCAAUUUUCUUAAACACAUCCACCACGUUUUGUUUAAAUGCAUCAAUGUCGAUAUCCAUUCCAGGAAUGGCAGCAUUAGACCGACAAGAACUUCUGCAAGGAGUAUCUUCAAUGUCUGGCAACUCGGGAAUUUCUCUAGCUGGAGAAGUGGGAAACUCAACUAUUGGCUCACAACAGUUAGUUUGAUUACUGCAUUCAGUGGAAACGCAUUCUUCAAUCGAGUUUAUCUUUGAUGUCAUCUUUGCAUCAUUAUCAUGACAAUAUGAAGUUUGUGACUCUUGGGACUCUUGGAACUCUUGGGACUCUUGGAACUCUUGGGACUCUUGGGACUCUUGUGUCUUCUGUUCAGGACCCUCGAGAAGAACUUUGGAACUGAAAGAGAAAAAAUAAACGUAAGUCAACUUCUGUUAAAAUAAUUUGUCUUUGGUUAUAUGGCUGCCUUUUGAGAACUAGAUACGGUUUAAAGAGAGCUUUGUUUUGUUUGCAAAAUUCUGUGUAAUUAUGUAACUAACAAAUGAGACUUUUCAAGUUUGUUAUUGUCAAGAAAAUUAAAUAAAGUAACAUAUUUCUUAUUUUUGUGUACAUAGGCAAUGGUAAAGAGACCUGCAAUGACCAACAUCAUCAACUGAUACUCGUAUUAUCCUAAUGUAUAGAAGAAAGAGUGUAACCUGACGUAUGCACUUGCAAAAUAUUUGCAUUCUGAUUUCAUCGGGCAUGCAUUACAGUUAGGAAUAACCUUCGUACAGAAAACCUGUGGUUUACAAGAUUUAGUCCAGAUGAGUACUGAUAUGUAUUUAACUGAAAAAUAUCAUAAUGAAAAGGUUUGUUUGUUAGGUGCACCUUUCCAAAUGUUAUCAUCUGAUAAUGUAACUCGUACCUAUAAGAAUAAAAGGACUAAGAUAAUCAGUACAUGUGUCUAUAUGAUAUCAUAAAUGAUUAGUUUGUUAUAAAUAAAUUUAAACUUUAGUUUGUUAUAAAUAAAUUUAAACUUACAGUGUUUCUUGAGGUAGUUUACAUAGUCGUGGCCAAAGAUAUUUUUGAAUUGAAUCCAUUGAAGGAUACCUAAUUGAAAAAAAAAGAGUAAAGUGUUAGUUGCUUAUAUAAAUCUAAAAUUUAAAUAAAAAAAAAAUACUUAACUGAAAUAAUUGAUGCAACUGAACACCCUCUGGCAAAGGUUCAAGAGGAACCCAACCAAGCCGAACUGCUAUACGUCCAACAUUUGUAUCAACCUAUACACAUCCAAGAGAUAAUGAUCGUUAAAAGAUAACAAGUAGAUUAUAGAUAUGAAUUUUUAAUAAUUUUAUUUCGUACCGGAAAAGCUGAAUGUUUAAGUCCUAAAAGUCGCACGCAUUCGGCACUCUUUAGCCCUAUUCCUUCUAUCUCCAAUAGAUAUCUCCUGAUAAUACAAAAGUUUUAGUGACUUUUUCCAAUAUAAAGCUUAAAUAACAUAAAAGAAAUCAACACAAACAUACUUCACUAAGUCAGAAGGAGCAUCUCGAAGCCAUUCAAGAUCCACGGUUCCAUUUUGUUUUGCUUCGUCGUUGAGAAAUUUCUUUAGAAAGUAAAAAAAUAAAGACAUAUUAGUGUCUCUAAAAUAAUAUAUCACCAAGACUUUAAACAAAAAUAGUUUCUUACCAAGAUUUUUCUUGCAAGACCAUUAUGCUGUCCUCGUUUCAUGAUGGUGUCAGCAAGAACUUGUUGAUCAGAUAAUCUUACAGCAUUCCAAUCAACAGUGUCCAUAUGUAUUGUAUCCCUAAAUCCUUCUUUUGUGUAGAUUUUUCUCAAACUCUCCCAAUCAACACUCUCAUCUUCCAUGAUACCUGUUUUUUUGUUUUUUCUUUUUGCAUCUUUCUCAUGUUGCUCUAAAUUUUCUUGUAAGGAGAAAGAUCCAAUUGAGCUUUUAGCAUCAUCCUUCUCAUUCUGAAUUGGUAUUUGACCAUUAGCAACCAAGUUAUUAACCUCUUGAGGUUCCUCGAUGAAAUAUGCUAAGCUUUCCAAACUUUCUUUUGCAUCCACCGGAAAUUUUGCAGCAACACUCAUGAAAGCAUUGCUGUAGAAAAUAGUUGUUAGAGCAAAACAUAUUUCAUAUCAAAGUUUUGUAAAUUAAUUCAGAUUUUACCUUGAGAGGUAGUCGGAAACAUUUUGUGUCAAAAAUACUCCAACCACUGAAUCAACAACCGAACCUUUCCAUUGUUUAAAUUUCCUAUUGCCUACAAAAUAGAACCACUAACAUAGUUAAAUGCACAAAUUUUUUGCUAACAAAAUAUCUUACAAAUAAUAACAAUGUACCUUGUAGAAGAUGCAUCCGAUUGAUGAAAAGUUCUAUCCGGCUUUGAAAGAUCUCUCGUUCUCCUUUCCACUUCGACUCUGUAUUUUCCUCAUUGGAAUAUGAUUGAUGUGGAAAAUCGUUUUCCAUUAAUAACUCCCACUCUUUAAUGGUUUCGGGAUCAAGAUUCACUUUUGCAAUAACCAGUUUUUUCUUUGCCUUGCCCAAAGUUGUUACUCUUCGAUUGAUAUUCAAUUUCUCCAUCUCCUUGAUUAACUUGGCAACACCUUUAGUAGUUUUUUUCAUAGACUGUUCAGGCGUUAUGUUAGUAACAGAUCUCAUAAGUAUAUCUGCCAAAACAAAAAAAAAACAAUUAAUAAUGUGUAACCAAAUCAACCACCUACCACUAUAUGUUAGAUAUGAAUUGCAAAAUGAAUAAAAUAUAGUUCGUGUUCUAUAAAGAAAUGUGAAAUGUAAAUAUAAAUAUAAAGCAUGAUAUAAAAUUGAUUAAUUCUAAUAUACAUUCUAAUUUACAUAAAUUUAUAUAGAAAAUAGGCAAUGUGGAUGCAUUACAGUUCAUGAGAUUCAUAAUCGAUAAGCAUAUGGAAAAUACGUAGAAUAUGAAAAAUGAACAUAAUACAGAAAAAAAUAUACAAUCGAAAACAUAGUUUAUUUUACGUUAACAUGUUGAACCCUAUUAUUAUUAUUAUUAUUUAUCCUAGAUACAUUUAUUCUUUAAAUGUUCAAUUGUUUUAUACCUAUACAUGUUACUACUGUAUGAUAGUUGUAGAGGUGAAUCUAGUGAUGGUGUUCACAGUUAACUAAUUCUUCUAAUGUGUAGUAAAUGUAUAAAAAAAUCAAAGUUUAAAUCAAAAGUGAUAGCUACUUGCAAGAUUUUUAUGAUUUUUUCUCCUAUAAUUUGAAAUAUAAAACUGGUUUCCGUGUAAUGAAACAUCAAAAUUAUUUUUCUUAUAAAUCAAAAAAAAAAAUAUGGUUACCUUCUUUGUGUAAUGGAACAUCGGCUAGUGAUGGAAGAUUGUGUUCCCUUUGAUAAUUUAGUUGUAGAGUUAGAUUAUUCAUAACUUUCUUUUCUUCAGUGUGUAAAUCUGUAAAAUUGAUUAUGUUAUGAGUAUACACGUAAAAACAAUAUAUACAUAAUAAAUAUAACUAGAUAUAGUGGAGAAAAUAUCAGAUUUUAUGAAUAUAUAAUAAAUUGUAUAAACACUAAUUACCUUUAGUCUGAACUGAAGCAUCUUGACGUCUAAUUUUCUUAGCCUUUUUCAAGUGUUCAUUGGAGCCUACACAAUAACAAAAAAUCAUAUAAACUGAUAUUGCAAAAUUAUUAUCAUCUAUUCUUAUCUAAUAAUUUAAAUAAACACUUUAAAACAUUAUCAAAAAUAAAAGUUUUACCAUCUGUUAUUUUCUGGUUAGAAUGCAUCAAACUCAGAUUUGGUACCAUCUUUUUUAUAUCUGUCAGAAAUGUAUAGAUAGUCAAAUUUAAUACAACAUCAAAAAUAAUGGGUAUAUAAUAAAAAUAUACUUCAACAAAGAAUAAAGAAAAAUAGUUGAUUACCUAUAUCGUCUGGAUGAAUUUCUACCAGUGACAAAGUUUCUUCUAUGCAUUCAUAAGAUAAAGCAAUCAUAGUCCACCUGGUCAGAUUUUUCUUUCGACUAGACCUUUUUGAUUGCUUUUUCCAAAUGGGCAUAGGAAAUGAGAUUGGUGAUAUCAACACAUGAAAAUCAAUCCUGCGAAGUGUGGUCAUCCUCCUUUUGCCUUUUGGAAAACUAGGCCAAAAACUUCUACUAAACUCAAGACAACCAGAAAUAACUUCUUCAUCAAAUGGCAACGUUCGAGCAACACUCAUUUUUGCCAUGUUUUUUCUUCUCUUUGGAGAACUCUGCUUUUCUGGAGUUUGAAGCUCAACUAUAUACUCUUCUUCAUCGCAUUUCUCCUUUUUACUCCUUUUAUUAGAUAUAGUUCUCAUUUGAAGAUUAGCACGAUUCCUUGGUUUUUUGCCAUCUUCCAUAAUCAUUGGCCUAUGGAAUCUCUUUUUGGAUACCUUUUCAGAAUAUUUCUUCUUUCCAUUAACAUGUUGUGAAUCAUCUUUCCACCAAGUAAAACAAUCACAAACAAGAUCAAUACAUGACAAUUCGUAGCUACCUAUAAUUUAUAAUAUAUAGUGUUAUUGAAAACUAUCUUUGUUUGAUAGUUGAUAUGUUUGUGCUAACUAUAUUUUUCUUAGUAGAUGUAGUAUUUUUUUACCUUGAAGAAUUGUUGACUUAGCAUUUUUCUCUUCAGUUUCUUCUUUAGAGUUUUCCUUCCCUUGUGUGCCAUGAAGACUUUGUAGAUCGACUUGUACCAACAAAUUAAAUAAAAGCGUAGUAAGUAAUUGAUAUAUACUAUAGAUUACAUAUCAGUUUGAAUUGGUUUUUAAUUACCUUUAAAAGUUUCUGGUUCUUCACUCUUUUUCACAGACUCCUCUUUAGUUGUAUUGUUUGUGUUGAAAUCUGAAGAAACAGAACUUGCAGAGUCAUCAAUGUUUUGUAACUUAUUGAGCAGCUUAGGAGGCUUUCGUCGAACAUAGAAUUUCAGUGGCCGUUCAGGCUUAACGGGUGUUCCUUGAACAACCAAACCGGAAAAAUUGUCUAGAUCUUUUGACUUCUUCAUUGUUGUCUCCUGUGACAUAUACAUUGAUUAGAAAACCUUUUAUAGAACUCAACUCAAUUUAAUUGAACUAAUCCUCGGUGAGAUACAAAGACUUCUUACAAAGAUAAUUUGACCCAAAAAAAAGAUUUUCAGUUUCAGAGGAACGAUCGUUUAUGGAGAACUAGAGGCGGAAUUAAACUUACAGAAUAUAAUUGCUGAAUACUCUGACGCAAGAGAGAGACAGAAGGACUUCGAGAAGAAUAGUAUAUCUGAAGCAAACACGAUUACCUCAACUUCCUUCAGAGAAAACCUUCGGGGAAAAAAGUAAAUAAUAUGAAAAUAAGAAAACACGAUCUCUUAUAUUCUUGUAGAGAAAAAAUUGUUAUUUUCCUUCUUCAAAUUUGAGGGUUGUUUUUCCAUAUUUUGAUGACGAGGUGUUUAGAUAAUUAUGCUAAAUAUUUCCAAGAAAAAAAAACAGAAUAUUCAAAUUAUCAUGGAUUUUUAUCAGUUUGAAAAAAAAAUAUUUAAAAUAUGAAGAGAUUUUCCUAUAUUCUCGUGGUUUAUCUAUUUUUUCAAGAAAAUCUAUCAAUAUAAUUUUUAUACUAAUAUUUUGCAUUUUUGAAAUGUAACGCUUAGUUUAUUUCGAAAAUAUACUAAACGAAAAAAAAAUUCAGCAGCUACUUUUUGUUCACUGGGUUUAGUUAGUAUUAGGGGCCUCCAGGUUAUUUUAUUUGUAGGUUCCUCUAGUAGAGAAUAUUAUGGACUUUUGUCUAUUAGUUAUGCAUAAGUUCAUGUCUUUUUAGAAAACUUAAUGAUUGAUAUUUUAUUUUAGAUGUUGUAUAUUAUAUAGUGAAAACCAAACAAAACAAAGAGGUUGAAAACAUUAUUACUUUGUUCACAUAGAAAGCAAAAACAAAGGACAAUGAUCAAUGGAGAGUAACGAAAGACAUAAGGGUGGUUGGUGAAAAUGCACACUCAGCAUUGUGAUAUCAAUCAAUUGAUUCGACAGACAGAUAGUGAUUCCAUCACCAACAGGGAGCAUACAGAUCUCGAUCCUAGGGUCAGCAGCAAGGGCUGCACUUCCUCUUGUUGAUGAACUCGGGCCAAAGACCGUUUAAAGUUGAGCUAAUCAUGUCAAUAAUCAUAUUUGUACUCAAAUAAUGCAGGUAUUUUUGGGUACUCCAGCAUAGUAGGUGUGGCCAAUUGUCAAAAAUCAAAAAAGUAAUAUAAAGUAAGGAACACGCCCGGUGGGACUCGAACCCACAAUCGUCUGAUUAGAAGUCAGACGCCUUAUCCAUUGGGCCACGGGCGCCUUGGUGCUAUUUCAAACCAAAUAAGAUACUUUUUCUAAAGUUCCGAAGGUAAGCGUACUGUCAACACGACGAUGAUACGACUUCGUUUCACUCGUCUUCUUCGCUUUACUUCGAGAACUGUAGAGUUUAAUAGAUAAGACUCUCUCUCUCUCUCUAGCUGCAGUUAGCAAACGUCACUGUGCUCUUUUAAGAUCUUCGCUUUCGAUGAUAACUUCGCUGAGUCCAACUCUAACAGAGCCGAUGCUCAUCUCUUCGAUGUGCUCUAUCUCAGCGACUGUUGCUCCUCCGAGUUUGUAUUCAAUCUCUUUGAUUCAUUCACCAAUAAAACAAAGGAAAGCCCAAAGCUUAAGACUCAGAGCUUCUUCAGCGUCGUUAAGUAUCGAUGUUGACGUCGUGACAAUUCCCAAAAAGGUUUCUCCUUUACACCUUCUCAGAAUCUAAAGUUCCCACCUUUAUAUCCCUAGAGAGAGACAAAACUGAUAAACAACGUUAUAUAGGUGCUUGUUCCGAUUGGAUACGGUACGGAGGAGAUAGAAGCUGUAGUCUUAGUUGAUGUUCUACGGCGAGCUGGUGCUGACGUCACUCUUGCCUCCGUGGAGCAGAAGCUAGAAGUUGAAGGCUCAUCAGGGACUAAGUUGCUUGCUGAUGUCUUGAUCUCGAAAUGUUCUGAACAAGUUUUUGAUCUUGUGGCUUUGCCUGUAAGUUAAUUAGACAUUAUAGAUCAUCUCCUUAUGUUCUGCUUUUGUCUGAUUUAUUAUCAAAUUGUGGAAAGGGAGGCAUGCCUGGUGCUGUUAGGUUGAGAGACUGUGGAGUUUUGGAGAAGAUUAUGAAGAGACAAGCUGAAGAGAAGCGGUUAUACGGAGCUAUAUCCAUGGCUCCGGCUAUCACUCUUCUUCCUUGGGGGCUUUUGACAAGAAAGAAGGUAUAAAAGCUAAAGGAAUGGAUUUGUAUUAUCAGAUUGUAACUAAUCACUUUGGUUUCAUUGUGCAAGACAACAGGACAUCCUGCUUUUUUCGGGAAGCUGCCUACGUUUUGGGCUGUGAAGACAAACAUUCAGGUCUCAGGGGAGCUUACAACUAGCCGUGGACCAGGCACUUCUUUUCAGUUUGCUCUUUCCUUGGCUAACCAGCUCUUUGGAGAAACCACAGCCCAAUCUGUUGGAGAGCUUCUAAACCAGCUCUUUGGAGAGACCACAGCCAAAUCUGUUGGAGAGCUUCUGGUAUUUAUCUUUAUUCACUUGUUUUGGAUUAUUCUUUUUUUGAUAUGUAACAAUCUUCUUUUCCAAUCAUGUUUUAGCUUCUACGCGAUGGUUACCAGAAUCCUAAGAUUGAAGAGGUGAAUAUCAUUGACUGGUCUCUAAACCACACACCUCGUGUAAGUCACAUGAAGCUAUAACCAAUUCCCUCUUCUUUCACGCUCAUUUAAAUGUGACAGCUUAGAAAGUUGGCUGAUUCUUGUAGAUUAUGUGAAAAUGUUUUAAUGAUGUAACUAAAUAUUUAUAUUCAGGUUCUUAUGCCGGUAGCUAAUGGAUCUGAAGAGGUUGAAGUGGUUACAAUUUCAGAUGUUCUUAGAAGAGCCAAAGUAGAUGUCACGGUUGCAUCGGUUGAAAGAUCUUUGCGGAUUACUGCAUCCCAAGGCACUAAAAUUGUUACUGACAAAUUGAUUGGUGAAGCUGCUGAAUCAGCAUAUGAUCUAAUCCUUCUUCCUGUAAGACAUCAAGAUCAUUAGAGCUAUCUACUGAUGUUUUAUUACAUGGUGAGUUAAUUUUGAUGUCUUUCUAUUGAUGGGAUUAUCUAGGGAGGCCGUGCUGGCUCAGAACGUCUACAGAAGUCCAAAUUUCUCAAGAAGCUACUCAAAGAACAACAAGAAGCUGGGCGAAUAUAUGGAGCUACUAACUCUGCAUCUACUGUCCUGCAUAAGCAUGGUUUACUCAAGGUGAAUUUAAGAUUUUUUUUGUUCUAGAUAUGAGCAAACACUGUACACCAUUUGGAUUAUGUUGCAGGAGAAGAGAACAGCUGUGUACGUUUCAGACACAGAUGGGCCUGCAAGUGACCAAAUGAUCGAAGGAGCUGAAGUUGUUAUAGAUGGAAACGUGAUUACAAGUUUGGGGCUGGCAACUGUUACUAAUUUCUCUCUAGCUAUUGUUAGCAAGCUGUUUGGACAUGGUAGAGCAAGAAGUGUUUCAGAAGGGCUUGUCCAUGAGUAUAGAGGGAAUUUGAAGGCAUCUUGAUCAAGAUACACAGUUAGAAGAUGUCUCCACUGCUUCUACAAGAAAAUUUUGCCAUUUAAGUUAGUUUUGUAAAACAUUUUUAUUAGCAGUUUGAGAUUCUUAACUUGAUGUUUCCAUCAAUCUAUUCACUCUUGUCUUACGGUCCCAAAAUUAUUAGUAGGAAAAAGAGGACCACAGAGGUAAUAUAUGCUACAAGACAAAUCCACUAUGAUUAAGUCACAAAGAUGUUCAAGACAUUGACACGUCCUAUAAAGCAACAUCAAGAUCAAUUACAUCAGCAACAUAAAACCAAAAGAUGCUUCAAGAAAACAGAAGAAGAAAAAAGAGUGUUGAUCUUGUCAAAUAAGGCCACACUUCAUUUACCUACAAUCACCCCCACAGAAAACACCUGCCUAAGUUACAUACAAAGCUAGCUUCUACUUUCUGUGUUGUUCUAUAAUAACUUCUGCUCUUUGUUGAGCUCCUUGGAGGGCUUCAUAAACAAGCUCUCUACCAAGGACCUGUCAGUGUCCUUCUCAAGCAUUGCCUUUUGCAUCCCCAUGGCUGACGCAUCGGCUCCAGAAGCUGCAACAACAAAUGAGCUAAUCUCUGUUAAAUAUCAAAACUUGUGGGACUAGUCUUAAUGUGAAUAUGUGAUGUUAUACUUCACUUCAUUGUGUUGCUUACAGACUAUAUAAGUCACAGUAUUCAACUAAAAGCUUAGACUAUUGUGUAAUAGCAAUUCACUUUUCUGGCCAGAGUUAAAAGCUUAGCCAACUCAAGCAUACAAGAGACAGUACCUGUUUUUUCUGCUUUUCUAUGAUCUCAACCUACACGAAACAUUUGGUCAAAUAAUUGGUCAGAACCUCAAGAAAAUAUAUUCCAAAUGAAAAAAAAAAUAUAGACAAUGGGAAGAAGCAGAGACACACUUGUUUCCUCUGCAACUCUUCAUUCUGCUCUUUCAGCUGUGCAACUUCUGCCUCCAACUCCAACGUAUAAGCCUGUCAGACAGCAAAAUGAAAAAAGUAAAAAAACCUAUACCAGACAGUGGUUUAAAGGUUUCUUCAGUCUCCAAAAUUUAAGUGGACACUCACUUGCUUGCGGGCGCGGGAUCUUGCAGCUGAUUCCCUAUUCUUAAUCAUCCUUUUCUGCCUCCUCUCAAUCACUUUCUCCAGGACUGCGCCUGUUUUUCUCACUCGACCAAACAUGUAAGGAACUGGUGACAAAGAUGCAUCCAUGUUGCUCUUUGGAGUCAGCUCAGGAGACAUCUGGCUUCCAGGAGAUACUGCUGCAACCGUAACUCCUGUUUUAAAAUCAACAGCCUGAAGAAGGUUGUUAUUGUUCAUAGGCCUGUCCCUAACUCCAAGAACUGAAGGCUUCACUUCCUAAAGGCAGAAAACAAACCAUGGUCAAAUAAACUAAAACAUGACUACAAAUACAAAACAAUUAGUCAGGAAAUAUAGACGAUUUAAUAAAGAUUUCAAUAGUUUGGAAGACUGAAAUAAUUUUAAAAAAAAUUUGGGGGAUUAUGUAUAUACAAAUUUUUCAAAAAAUUUUGGAGACAUGACACGAAUGUUUCAGACCGGCUCUGAGCUUAUUCCGCAAACAUGAAAACUACAUGAUCUAAUAACAACAUAGUCAGGUUCUUAGUCAUCACACCUGUGUUGGAGGUUGAGAACGGUUGACCAAAUCAACAGUGUUGGAAAACGCUAUAGUAGACUGUUUAGGAAAAGCUACAUCCUGCUGCUUCUGGAUCAGUUGCUGCGGCUGAUGCACCUUCUGUGGCUGCUGCGGCUGCAUCUGCAACGGCUGAGUUUGAGUUGUCAGCAGAUCCGGUCUCACCAGGUUAGGACCAAACCCAUUACGAGCUGAACCAAGACCUGCAUCACUUCCAAAUCCAAAGAACCCACCGUUGAAGCUAUCCACCCUCUCCACCUGUUGAGGCUCUUCCCUAACCACACCAGCUCUCACCAAGAACUCCUCCAGAGUCAUCUCCCCCAACGUCUGUUGCCUCUGCGGAACUCCACUCGCUCCUCCACCACCACUUCCAGCGUCAUCGUCCUUCAUCAGCUCCUUCCAGACAUCAUCAACUCUUUUCUGACUAAUGGUACGAGGUAAAGUAAUUGACCCUUGUCUCUGCAAACCCCCACCAACACCAAUCUCUCCUCCCACACCAACAGACAAACCUCCAUUAAAAGUGUUGUUGAAACUGGUGUUGUUGGCCAUUAUAGAGUGGCUUUCCUCAGCUGUCCAAAUGUUCUUCAAGAGCUCGUCCAUGUUCAUGGACCCAAAGUCCUUCCCAACCCCACCACCCCAUGAGUUCUGAAACUCAUCAAAGGUUAACGAGAAAACAGAGUUCUGUCUCGUCAGAGGAACACCAGCUCCUAAAGCUGGUUGCUUUGCGUCGUCAACGAAGUUAAAUCGAGAACCCAUCUCUUAAAAAUUCAAGCUUUGGAUCCUUCAAGUAAAACAAACAAAUAAAAAUCAGAUCUUUUAAUCAAAUUCGAAACAGAGCAAAGAGUGAAAACAGAGGAUCUGAAACAAUUCUACAAAACAACCAAUCAUAAGCUUAUAUUGGGCGGGAAAAUUCAUGAUUCUGAUCCAAUCAACGAAUCUGAAACAAGAAACCAAUCAGUGAAAGUUUUUAUUUUCCUUACCUUCGGAUUUUUAUUUUUUAUUUCGAUAUUUCCUUUUCGAGAAAGAAAAAAAGAUCUGAGGAAUAUAGAGAGGGAGGAAGCGACAUGUGUCCAUGGCGUGACACUCGUCGUGAUAUAAAGGGGAGUUUCGACUGUUUGGACGCGGGGAUUAUUUUAUUCUCGAUAAGGUAUUAAAAACACUUUGACGUCAGAUCGUGCGUGAGCGAAAGAGAUUGGACAACGUGGUCCAAUGAGAAACGCUGCUUUUUUCUAUAAAUAUCGUUAUCAUACGCUUACGAUUCCAACGAAUAGUGGUUCGCAAAGUGGAAGGACGCUGGCCGUUAGAUUUUCUAAUCGACAUCGUCGGUAAAGAGAUGAUUAUUGUUUUUUUCUUUUAGUAUAUUAAAAUUUGUAAUUUGCCGGAUGAUUUAUUUGGUAGACGGACAUUAUGCAAAAGCAGGUCUUUUCACAAUGUUAAAAAAUGGGUAGACUUACAGUUAAACUAUUUAUGUGAAAUUAUUAAUUGCGCGAACGUCUAGACUAAAUUUUUUGAAUGUUUAAACCAAUUUUUUUUUUUAAAUUAAUCUAGAAAAAUUAUCAUGAUUCACUACUGAUAACUGCAAAGAUCCGUAGACGGAGUUAUACUAUACUAAAACAAACAGAAAAAGAGAGAAUGUUAUAAAAUUUAAAUGAAUAUGAAUUAUUAUACAAUAUGCAGUAUUUUUGUAUACAAAGUGGAGGAGCCGACGGGUGAUCAGUUCCGGAAUCUUUAUCACGUUUGCUGCUGCACCUACAAGGGAUGGACAUUUACCACGUGGCGCACUCAGCGACCUCGUAAAGUAUUAAAAUGAAGCAACAAACAUUAUAAUAUCAGUACUGGUGUCCCAUUACUCACAUAAACCCUUUGUGUUGAUCCUCACAUGUGAUGUGAUCUUCUCUUUAAUUUAUUUUAUCUUUUUCAUUUUAUUUUGUUUAUUGAUGUUUCUUCAUUGUUAUGGACUUAUCAUAGACUCGGUACACAAUACAAGUGACCCUUCGUGUCACCCAUCGUUUAUUUCUAUUUUCAAUCAUAUAUAAUAAUAGUUUUUCUUAAAGAAUCUACUGGAUUAGGAAAGUCUAAUCUGCAUUAAUUCAUAAAAAAUGGAACCGUGAGCUUAUAGAAUUCACAUGGACUCGACUCUACUAGUCUUUUGAAGACAUGUUCUUUCCUUUAUUAGAUUUAAUUAAUCAAAGUUACUUCUUUAAGGUCGUGAUGAGAUAACUACACACAUUUGCUAACCAUUCCUUUACUAUUCCGGAAUACAAAAACCAAUAAAUCUAGAACAAAACGAAUAAAACAACAGACAAAACGAUAUAAAAAGAAUCAAUGUCAUGAAGCUUAUAUGUUUUCUUAUAGCUUUAUUUUGUGUCCAAAACUCAAAGUUGCUAAGAUUAGUUGAGCUUUUAGAGGGUCUACCAAUUGGAGAUAUCUGGAUUAGAAAAUUGAAUUAUUGUUGGGAGAAACUAAGCUUUGAGGCAUAGCAAGAUAUCGGUUAAGUCUAAUAAACUAUUUACAUAUUCCUCAAAAUAAGUAUAUUUUCCUAGUAAAUACAUAUUGCAUGUGAAGUCCAACGGCCCGAAUAAAAGGUCGGAGGUUUCGCACUCUUACACGCAAUCCAACCACGUGGACCAGAGAUCUUUGAUUGUUUUCUUAUGAAAGAGGAUUGUAGUGAACGACUAAGCCCUGAUUGACCAACGUGCGUCAGAUUAUAUGCUNNNNNNNNNNNNNNNNNNNNNNNNNNNNNNNNNNNNNNNNNNNNNNNNNNNNNNNNNNNNNNNNNNNNNNNNNNNNNNNNNNNNNNNNNNNNNNNNNNNNNNNNNNNNNNNNNNNNNNNNNNNNNNNNNNNNNNNNNNNNNNNNNNNNNNNNNNNNNNNNNNNNNNNNNNNNNNNNNNNNNNNNNNNNNNNNNNNNNNNNNNNNNNNNNNNNNNNNNNNNNNNNNNNNNNNNNNNNNNNNNNNNNNNNNNNNNNNNNNNNNNNNNNNNNNNNNNNNNNUUGUGAUUCAUUUAUACUCGAUAAGACAUGGCCUGGACUCUAAACUAUUUGUUUACAACAAUUUUAUUGAUAUGUAUGCUGAACCUAGUGGACCUUAAGGGUUGCCAUAAGGUUUUUGAUAGGAUGAUUGUGAGUGGAUUUGGUCGGGUAUGUAUAUAUGGGCUCUAAAAUUUAGGCCCACAUUUCAACAUUGAAUUAGAUGUGGAUUUCACAAAACCCUACGAUCUUCUUAAGAAAAACACCCAUGUCAGGAGAUUUAAACAUAUGUACAAAAUGUAUAAGAUUUGAUAAGAAAAUAAUCCCAAUUAUUCUACGUGCCUCUGUCACAUAUUAUAGUAAAUUCUAUCCCGAAUGCAUGAAUGAAAAGAUUAGAUUCAUGUUUACAAAAUUACAUAUUUUCAGAUUAGUGUAUGGCUAACAGUUGUAUUAGCUAAAAGGCAUACAUUGUAUAAUGUAGAGCUGUAAACUAACUGUACAUUGGAAAGGCGAGAUAUUUUUCUUGGUUUGUCAAAGUAAAAGGGCAGAUAUUUUUCUUGGUACGGACAUAAGUAGCAGAUAUUUUUGACCCAACCACUGCCACGCCAGCAAGUGCAUUAAAAUAUCCUUCGGCCAAACCAAAGGCUAAUUUUAAUUAGUUUAUUUCUAGGAUUUAUCCAAUAAACUUCUAACUAUCAUUUAUUUCUAGGAUUUAUCCAAUAAACUUCUAACUAUCAUUUAUAAUCCAGACAUAAUUAAUCCUUUUAUUUGGCGUUAUCUCUUUAUCCAAAAUCCAAAAUGAUAGUAUUUUAAUGAAUACAGCUAGCUAAUUAUUUGAAUUAACAAAAAACUUUUGUGGUGCAUUGAAAAAGAGCCAAGGCCCCAUGACGAUUCACGAUGUUCUUAAGAUGGAUUAUUAUGACGUUAACUUUAUGUUAUCUAAUUCUAAAAGUUUAUCCAAGAUCUGACCAAAUCUGAUUUAGUUUAAUAAAUCCUAAAAGCAGACAUAUAAAACAAGGAAAGUAAUCAGAAAGUAAAAAGAAAAAUCAAAAUCAAAAUCCUGACCUAUUAAAUUCGGUAAAGAGAAAAAUAAUAUCCAAAUCACACAACCUCCUUCCGGGAAAAAAAUAAAUAUCUGGCUGAUAGAUAUUUGUCCAAGAUAUUAUCAUCGCUGCUGAUGACGUGGCGGUACUAUGCCACGUGUAAAAGCGAGGCCAUGUGGACCCUUCCUUGUCUUUAAGGGGUCUAUCUCAAGCAAGAGAAGUAAUUUGUGUUUUGUUCUUUUGCGUUGAGAGAGAGAGAGAGAGAGAGAGCACCGAUGGCGAAUGAGUACGAGGUGGUGAAUACUGUUUCUCUCGAGAUGCAUCACGAUGCGGCUGAAUCUCAGAGCGACUCGUCGACUCUCUCGAACUCGUUCGAGUCCGGCCUCACGGUUGGCGAUGCCGAUUCGAAGAAGCUGGUAAACAAACCGAAUCUUCUAUUUGUUCUGUUGUUGCCUUUGAGACGUAAGAGAUAGUUAAUUGAUCUAUUUAGGAAAGUAAUCUUAUUUGAGAUUGUUAGAUAUGGAAGGAAGGAAGCUUCAGAUCUGAUGCUAGUGUUAGGUUUUACACUCGUUAACCUAAAAAGAUCUUAUUUUGAUGAAUGAUACUAAUCAAUCCUUUGUAAGCAUUUGCCAAAAUCGAAAAAGUCAUUUAUUUUAAAUGAAUUUGAAUCUUCUUCUGAGUGAUUUGAUUUCUUGACAAGUAUGUUGUGUAACUGUUUAUGCAGGAUGAGUGUGGUGGAUGGACGAAUGAGAAACACAACUUGUAUCUUGAUUCUUUGGAGAACUCUUUUGUUAAGCAGUUGUAUUCCUUGCUUGGAGUGGGAGGAGAGACUCAGAGGCUGAGUAGAACUCGUGGUGUGCAGUCUAACUCUCACAAAUUGACUGAUCAGGUUCGUUUUUUUUUCUUUUUAAUACUGUUUCUUCAUUUGUUUUUGUAAACCUAUAGCGAGAAAACUUACGACGUUAUCUUUUUGUAGUUUACGGUACUACAAAAUGGUUACCGGCAGAAAGUUAGCUUUGGGAAAAAACGAGCUCAUUUGGAGACGAUGGGAACUGAUAAAGGUUUUACUAGAACAUCCAUGAGAACUUCUUUGGUGCAUCAGUAUCCAUCUCAAAGCACUGCAGGUAACAUUCUCCUUAGCCUAGUUUAAUCGAACUCCUCUUGGGAGUUGUAUGUUUUGGCUUCUUCUCUUCUUGUUUUUGUUACCCAAUUAGUGUAUGUUCACAUUUCAAAUUCUAUCUAAGAACUAGGCUGAUACUUUUGAGUAGAUCAAUACUUAAGUUAACUUUGCAUUGGCUUUUAGAAGGCUUUUACUGCAGAAAGAUAGAGUUGAUAUGACCUGUGGGGGAUCAAAGAAAUGAUUGUUGCUACGAAAGGCAUGUAUGAGAUCUGGUCUGAUAUCUAUUCACCCACCGACCCACUUAUGAAUGUUUUUUUUUGUUUUGAACUUGUAUUCUCACCUGCCUGAUAGUAUCUGUUUAAAGUCUAAACCCUGACCUCAUUUGUUUUUAAUAACUCCAGAGGCGUCAGGGCAGAAUUUCAAAGAAGAAGAAGUGGAAGAGAAGGGAUGUGACUCAGAAGUGUCCAGGAAACGCAGAAGAGGAGCUAACUGUGAUGAUAGUUCAUUGAAUGAUCAGGUAAGUAUGGGAAAAUAACACAAUACCAAACAACUUCACCUGCGUGAUGCUUAAGAGUCUGCUGCAUAUUUUCAGGUUGUGCCGUGACGAUGGUGAAGCCCCAGAGAAAGUGAAACAAUGAUAUAAAGCAAUAGGAAAUGAAGUGUAGAUUAAUUACUAUGAAUAGAGAAAAAAAAUAGGAAGCGUGCGAGUGGAAAAUGGACGUGGAGGGUUUUGUUUUGUUGUAUAGUAUGAUGAGGCUAAAGACAGCCUUGUCGAAUGGGAAUGAAAUUAGUAUUUUGAUAUAUUAUCAUCAUUUCUUCCAUUGCUUUUCAAUCUUUAAUUCGUUCUAUUAAUUUUUUUUUUCAUUUUCUAGAACAAUGUUUUAGUCGUGAAUUUAUAAAUUCUUUCAAUAGUUGUGUCUUUCUGUUCUACUGGUUAAAAUAUAUUUAAGCUAAGAGCAUGUACACCAACACAACCAGUUGCUUUUCUUUGUCUGCAACAACCAGUUGCUAAAAGUAAAUAUUAUCAUGAGCUGAUUAAUGCAAUUUUGAAGCUGAAGGGGGUUUUUAUGCAAGCAGGAAGUGCAUAUGUUCACGAAUUGACAUUUCAUGAUCUCUAUUAAUGCUUUUGAGGAUUUUGUGAAGCAAUGGAUUUACCAUUGUCAGUUUCUUAAUUCCUGGAUCUGUAGAGUGGUCACGGUCACAGCACUAUAGCAUCUUAUAAUCAUGAUAAUUCUAUAGGGGACGUAUCUUGCGGCGCACGGAAAGUAGUGAGAGACAAAAAAACAAGGGUUUGCGUUGUAGCGUGAUGUUCGCAAAAAAACAAUCCAUCACUCAUUUUCAAGGCUGUAUCCUGUAAUAGUUACCGGUUUCUUCUUAGGUCUAUUUUGCUUGUUUUCCUUUUCUCUAACCACAAUUUCUAUUUCUUGCUAAAUAUGUCCUCCGUAUCUGAAGCAACAUCCUCAAAAACAAAACAAUGUCCCCUAAAUAUGGGAAACCGUUAGUCAUUUGCAAGGCUGGCUUAUUAUUAAUAAUACACAUUCGCAACCUCCUCGAACCCUCUCAGGUCCAUCUAUAAGCAGCCUUGGACCUUUGAGGUUUUCUCUUUUAGCCAUGGCUAAACCUCCGUCCUUUGGCUGCUUCUUCUUCCUCUUAUUCUUCUUCUUUAUAUCCUCUUCCUUCGCCGCAUACGCCAUAUCCGAUUCCGAAGCUGCCUUCCUAGUCCGACGUCAACUCCUGACGUUACCAGAAAACGGCGACGGCGAACUUCCCGAUGACAUCGAAUACGAGGUCGACCUCAAGGCUACAUUUGCAAACACGAGGCUUAAAAAGGCUUACAUAGCACUCCAGGCUUGGAAAAAAGCGAUAUAUUCGGAUCCGUUUAACACCACGGCAAACUGGCACGGCCCCCACGUGUGCGCCUACACCGGUGUGGUAUGCGCGCCGGCUCUCGAUGAUCCCAACGUCACUGUGGUAGCUGGUGUUGACCUCAACGGUGCGGAUAUCGCGGGGCAUUUACCCGUCGAGCUUGGUUUGAUGACGGAUGUUGCUAUGUUCCAUUUGAAUUCGAACCGUUUCUGCGGUAUCAUCCCCAAGAGCUUCGAGAAGAUGAAGCUGAUGCAUGAGUUUGAUGUUAGUAGCAACUGUUUCGUUGGACCGUUCCCUAACGUCAUCCUCUCUUGGCCUAGUGCCAAAUACUUCGACCUUAGGUUUAAUGAUUUCGAAGGUCAAGUCCCUCCAGAGCUUUUCAAGAAAGAGCUAGACGCUAUUUUCUUGAACAACAAUAGAUUCACUUCGGUGAUUCCUGAAACUUUAGGAGAGUCUACGGCCUCUGUUGUGACUUUUGCUAACAAUAAAUUCACCGGAUGUAUCCCGAAGAGUGUCGGAAACAUGAAGAAUCUCAACGAGAUUGUCUUUAUGGAAAAUGGUUUGGGCGGUUGUUUCCCGUCUGAGAUUGGAAAGUUGUCGAAUGUGACAGUUUUCGAUGCAAGUAAGAACUCGUUCGUAGGUCGUCUCCCGACUAGCUUUGUCGGGUUAACGGGUGUGGAGGAGCUUGAUAUCUCCGGGAACAAGCUUACGGGAUUAGUAGGGGAUGAGAUUUGCAAGUUGCCUAAUUUGGUGAAUUUUACUUAUUCAUACAAUUACUUUAAUGGACAAGGUGGUUCUUGUAUUCCGGGUGGCGGGAGGAAAGAGAUUGUGUUGGACGAUACACGUAAUUGUCUGACGGAUAGACCUGACCAACGGUCGGCUCAGGAAUGUGCUGUGGUGAUUAACCGUCCGGUUGAUUGUAGUAAGGACAAGUGUGCUGGUGGUGGAUCCUCUACUCCAUCGAGAUCAUCGCCGGUUCACAAGCCAUCACCGGUUCCAACUCCGGUUGUUGACAAACCGUCGCCGGUUCACAAACCACAACCACCGAAAGAGUCACCGCAACAAGAUGAUCCUUAUGAUCAGUCUCCGGUGAAGAACCGACGCAGCCCACCUCCACCUCAUCAAUCUCAGCCUCCGGUGGUUUCCUCUCCUCCACUUCCGUCACCACCACCACCACAAGUCCACUCUCCACCGCCACCUGUUCACUCUCCUCCACCGCCUGUCCACUCUCCUCCACCGCCAGUCUAUUCCCCACCGCCACCGCCUGUCUUCUCUCCACCACCACCCGUAUAUUCCCCACCUCCGCCAGUCCAUUCGCCACCUCCACCACCUCCGGUUAACUCGCCGCCGCCACCUGUUCACUCACCGCCGCCGCCUGUUCAGUCGCCACCGCCACCGGUGUUUUCUCCUCCAGCUCAUCCGCCACAAACACCAGUCCAACCGUCACCAUCACCAGCGGUCAUUCUUCCACCUCCGUCUCAAUCUCCACCAGUAGUCUACUCUCCUCCGCCAACGAUCAGUUCCCCACCAGCACCAGCUCCAGUGGAAGAGAAACAGACGCCGCCUGCACAAGCACCAGCUCCGGUUGAAAAGGAACAGGCGCCACCGGCACAAGCACCAGCUCCGGUGGAAGAGAAAGAGACGCCAACGGCACAAGCACCAGCUCCAAGUGAUGAAUUCAUCAUACCACCUUUCAUCGGCCACCAAUACGCAUCGCCACCACCUCCAAUGUUCGAGGGCUACUGAUAUCGAUCGAAGAGAGAAGACACAACUAUAUCAUCUAGGAGUAACAAUAUUGUAAAACGAAAGAAGAGAAAAAAUUGAAGAAGAAGAAUAUAAUUGAAGGUUAAAUUAUGUAUGCUAAUGGAGGAACUUGUUAUCAGAUGUUUAAAUUUGUAACAGUUACAACUUCUGAUGGUCGAUAAAAGAUUUAUACUUCUAAGCAAAAAGAGUUGUUAUUAUUUUCCAACUAACUAUCUAUAGUGCAUGCAUAAUUACAUAAACUCCUUUUUAAUUUUUCUCACUCACAAAUCACAGCUUAGUUGCAAAAAAAAAAAAAAAAACCACAGCUUAGUUGCAGAAUUUUUUUACAAUGUACUCCUUAUGUUUCUAAAUAAUGCAUAUUUUAGAAUUUCACAAAUAUUAAGAAAAAUUUAGCAUUUAACUAUCAAUGCAUUAAAUUUUAAAAUUAUAACAAUUUUCCAUAAAUUUAGACCAAUAGAAAUUCAAUAAAUAUAAAAUUGUCAAUUAAUAAUUUUUGAAGUUUACAAUUCAUUAUUAAAAACAUAUAGAAAAUCUAAACAUUUAUCUUUUAAACACAAGUAAAAAGUGCUAAAACAUGAAUUAUUUAAAAAUAGAGAGAGUAUUACUCCCUCCGUUUUUUAAUAUAAGUCGUUUUAAAAAAAAAAUUAUGUUCCAAAUUACAUGACAUUUUCGGUUUUCUAUGUAAAAUUUAUUAACACUUAAUGUUACAUGACCAAUAAUAAUAUACCUUAUAAAACAUUGAUCUUUUUAUCAAAGUUCUCACAUGUUCUGUUCAAUAUAAUUUAGUCUAAUCUUCAAAACCUAAUUAUUUAUAAAACAUAUAAGAAUAUUAUAAGAGAUUAAUAAUUAUUAUAGAUACGAUAUAUUUUAUAUGAAUAUGAAAUCAUUAUACGAUUUCUAUAAAUUGUUUUAUAUUCAUUAUUUUACAUAGUAUUUAAAUAUAAAACAAUUGAUCAAACAUUAUUACACUUCCUAUAAUUAUGAAAAUUAGCAACUAUAAAUUAUUAUUUGUAAUAUCAUUUAGGUUAUUUGGCAAGUGAUAAUAAUUAGUUUUAUACUUACAUUUUAUUUUAGAACUAAUAAAAAUAAUUAAAUUAUAAAAAAAUUGUCUAUAUUAUGUAGUUUAUAAAUAUAAAAAAGAAUUGAUCAAACAUUUUUAUUCCUUAUGUAAUUUCAACAAUUAAUUACCAUAUAUCAUUAUUUUAAUAUAUUUUAGAUUAUUUGUCAAGUUAUAUUAAUUGGUUCUAGAGUUAUCUUUCUUUUUAAAUCUAAACUAUAACAAAUAAAAUUAAAAAUUAUCGAUUAAGCAAAUUAUAACAAUUUUCUUAAGACUUCAUAAAUGAUCGACAUGUAAGCAAAAUUGACUCAAGUGAUUUCUCGUUUAAUAUAUAGGAGAAAUUUUUUAUAAACUCUUAUAAAUGAUCUAAAAUUAUGAUUAAAUAAUUUUGUAAGCCAUGAUAGAUAAUUUUAUAUUUUUUUAUAAAUGAUUUAUAAAGCUAUAUGGACAUUAUAAGACUUUAAUAAUUAUUAUAAUAACUAAUACAACACAAAUUAUUAUAAUAAUUUUUGUUGUAUUAAUUAUUUUAUGUAGUAUAUAAAUAUAAAAAGGUUUAAUCAAACAUUAUUACACUUUUUAUGAUUUUGACAAUUAAUUACCAUAAAUUAUCAUUUUUAAUAUCAUUUAGAUUAUUUGGUAAGUGAUAUUAAUUAGUUUUAGACUUUCCUUUUAUUUUAAAUCUAACUAAAAUAAUUGAAAAUUGAAAAUGUUUCAACCAAUCAAAUUAUAACAAUUUUUCUUGAACUUUCUCUAUGAUUGACUUAAGUGGCUUUUCAUUUAAUAUAUACGAGGAUUGUUAUUUUAGGCAAUUAGAUUUUAAUCUUCUAAAAAUGACAAAAUUAUUAACAUGUUGAUACUUGGCUUAAGAGGUUCUGAAAAGUAUCUCAAAUUUCUCUUUUGGUAUAUAUAGGAGGGUUGUUAUUUUAGGAAAUUAGAUUUUUAUGUUUUUUAGAAUUGGUUUAUUAGUUGAGAUAGUUAACUAGAUACUAUACAUUGGAGCUGCUCCAACAAAAAUAAUGAGAAAAUAUUUUGAGUUGUGAAGUAUCACCUUCUUCUACAACCAAUCAUAAAAGUUAUAUCAUCAAAGAUAAGUCACCUCUUUCUGCAGUUGAUUCAGCACAUAAGACGUGAACUUCCUAAAUACCUUGGUAACAAUCAAUAAAAAAGAAACAUGUAAUAAAUUGCUUUACUAAAUAUAGGAAAAAUAGUACAUGCACUUGUUAUCAUAAUAACAAGGACCAUGGAUAAUAGCGUUUCUUGUCUUCAUGUCAAACUGUAUUCACCCCAUUCUCAUCCAUGUUCAGUAUCAUUAAUUAUUGUCACAAGAACCCUACUUUUUGUGGAAUUAUGUAUAUGGAUGGCUUCGCGUCUACAUCAUUAUUUAUUCUUAAUUAUAUUAUAAGAACACAUUAUUACAUAAUACAAUAUAUUUCUUCUAAGAGUACACAUACUUAACAGCUCUGUUUAGAAAUAGGUUUAAGAUUUCUCUCGCAUUACAUUUCAUUUGACCUACUCUACUUAUCCCAGUAACUGGUAGGAAACACUUUGGCUGAUAAUACAACAACUUAAUGUGGCUUCAUGUCUUAAUUUCAACAAUUAUUCUCAGAAAAUAUGAACAAAUUUUUUUAAUUGAUAACUACAGAAGAGUUUCUAUUAUUAUGGUCAGCCAACCAAUUCAUUAAUGUGAUUUGUUUGUGUUGCGUGACUUGCAAUUGCAUGCGUCUUAAUAUAUAAGCCCAUAUAUGUUUUGUUAAAAAUAAUAUUACUAAUUAUUUUCUGUCAAUAUAUUAUACACAUGUAUUAAGCAUAAGCAGGUUUUGUAAGGGUGACUCUGAGUAUGGCAAUUUUUUAAAAAUGUUGUACACACUGCGCAGACGCAUUGAUUUGUGUUGACAUGAAAUUGGUCUACGCAGUAAGUUAGUAAUCACAAGUCACAACUACUGAUGCCUUGACAAAAAAAGAGAGUAUACCUCUACUAAUGUAAAAGUUUUCUUUUAAGAUCACGAGUUCGACAUUCAGCGAUGAAAAGAUGAAUGAACCCACAAGCCAUAACCGUCAUCAGCCGUGACAACCUUUGGCCUCAUACCACACAUGAUAUAUAUUUCGUUCUUUCUUUUUUGGUUUGUUGUGAAUCUUGUGAUACACCUCACCGCAUGGUUCAAAAUCAACUUUGAGCACAUUUUUAUUUAACGUUUUUUAUCAUUAGAGUUAUAACAAGCUUUGUGAAAGUUUUUUUUUUUUUUUGUAAUCAUACCGUGCAAUGCUAAACACUCCGCUAUAAUAUGAAGUUAAAAUUUUUGCAAUAUAUUGAUCAAUACAAAUAUAAAUGUUUUUAACUAUAGCAGUUGUGUAAAGAUUUUAUACGAGGUUUUACUUAAUACUGUAUAUGUUUGAAGGCUUACUUCUAUGCAAAAAGAAAAAAAGUCAUCAUAUUUUCUCAUGGCGAAAAUGAUAAUUGAUAGUGGAAGGUCGAUAAAAAUUCUUUAUUGAUAAAAGAAAUUAUUUUUAUGAUAAUGAAAGAAGCAAAGGAAAAAAAUAAGAAAUAGUAUUUUUUAAAAAAAUUGUUGAGCUUCGAAUGAGAUAUUAUAUUUUUGUGUGAAAUAACUAAGAGAAACACCCCCUUAACAAUUCAAUUGUGCUAAUCUUUAGUUACUCAUGGUGGAGAUAUACGCAUUCAACGAUAUAACGAGGCAUCACCAGAUUUUUAUAUUAAGAUUUUUUUUCCUCAACUAUAUGAACGAGUCCACGUUCCAAGCCAGAUCCGAAGCCAUCUCAUAAGACUAAACAAAAUUUUGAUAUAACAAUUGAAUGAUUAGCUUGUCGUAAAGUACUUAAAUAUCAUUAUGAAGACAUUAGGGGUUGUUUCCGCUGCACGUCUUCUUCUGCAACCAAUUUUUUGUUGUUAAUCCUUUUGAGCUCUUCUUCAACUAAUUUGCGCACUUGAUUAUUAGAGCACCAUUAUCCUAGAGACCCUAAAUGGGUCUUUUAUUUUUUUUUAAUACUUUUUAAUUGUAAAAGUGAAUUAAGAGACUGGAUUAAGAAACCCGAACAUUUAGGUGCUCCAUUGCAAGUCUCUUAUUAAGAGUUUAAAAAAAAAAAUUUAAUUAAACACCAAUUUUUUUUUUGAUUUUUCUUAUUAAACUUAAAUUUUCUUAAAACAUAGUACAAGCUAACUCUAUAUUCAAGUUUUUGAUUGAAAAACUUACAAAAGAACCAAGCACAAGGGGAUUCACAGCAUUUGGAGUUUUCACGACUUUGAGUUUGUAGAGGAUAACAAGAGUAAGGAAGGAGAUAAUAAUAAUUAUCAAAACAUGCGGAGACUAAUCUUGCAUACCUCGUUAAGCAGUGGUUCAGGUUCUCUAUCUAUGCAAGACUUAAAUUUUACUCUUAGCAUACUGAAAAGAGGCAAUGCAUCCCUCUGCAACCUGUAUUAGUACAUCAAAUUUGUUUAGGUAACAACAAAAGAAAGGCUAGAGCCGUUGAUGAAGAAGAAGAAGUGGAAGUUGUCUCAGCCACCGUACCGCCAAACGCAGACGCAAAUGCUGCAUCGCUAUCUUGAUACAACCUCACGCCUCUCCUCCUUCUCUCGCUUCUCUCUUCAGACACAAGUAACCUCGAGAUAUCCUCUCUCUGCAACCUAGCUUGAAACGCCGUAUCUCUGUUCCUGCUUCUUACCCUCUGAUUAGAGUCUCUAGGGCUUGGCAUUUCCUUGGUUAGGAAGUUAGCAGAAGCAGCAGCUCUCUGUGCGAGCAACCUCUCCAAUUUGCAUUCCGAUAACGCCUUCAUCCCAUCCUGUAAGCAAAAGAUUUCAACAAUUUUAAAUUCAUAUUAGCUCUUGUUAUGGAAGGAAUAACAGAACCAUAGCAAUAUGAUCAAACCAUAAAACAGAGGAAAAUUGUAUAAUUAAGCUCAUACAAGAAACUUGGAUUAUUAUUAUUAGACAAUUAAGCUUACUAUUAUUAGAUUACCACCAGUUCAUCAACAAGUUCUCACACACACACACUCACUCUGAUCUCAGAACAUAAACCCUAAUUAAAUAGAUUUCUCCAGAAAGUAAUCGAACACAAAUAGCGAAACAUCCAGUCACUACCACAUCAGCUGAGCAGAAUUUUUUGUAAGAUCGAUUUUCCCUACAAUNNNNNNNNNNNNNNNNNNNNNNNNNNNNNNNNNNNNNNNNNNNNNUACAAUGGGAAGUUUCAAAGAUAAGAGAGGUUUACCGAAUCCGGUGCAGUGAACGGUGACGGUUUGACCCGAGCGGGUUUGGGACCGGUCCCGGGUCUGAUGAUUUUUUUCUCCGCUCCGUUGCCGGCGGCACCAUCUCUCUCUCUCUCGCUGCGAAUUGAGAGAAAUUGAAAGAAGAGCCAAGUCGGGGAAGAAGGAGAGUAGAGUCUCAAAAGUGGACACGUGUUAAUAAUAUCCGUCUCUUGUAGUCUCCAAAUAAGAGACGUGUUUUCACAUAUAAGCUAAUUUUCUUUUAUUUUAAUUCCUAAAUAACAUAAGAACCCCCACUAAAUACGAGCGAUAAAGAUGCUCUUACACUAGUGUUGCUCAAAUGGGGACCAUGAAGAAGAAAACCUCGAGAGAAGUGCAAAACUUAUUGAACAAAAAAUAAUUAAGGUGUUACAAGAAUCAACAAAGAGAAGUGCAAAACUUAUUGAACAAAAAAUAAUUAAGGUGUUACAAGAAUCAACAAAAACUACAUCGAAGAGUUCACCACGACAAAAGGUAAGAGAAACGCGGGUAAAUGAUUUCGUGAAAAUUACAAAAAAAAACAGAUUUUCAAGGGAGAAAUCCAAAGAUGAAUUGAGAAGGGUAAGAAGGGGAAAUGCCCUGGCGGAGGAGAUGUUGAGGUGGCAGAGGAGUGCGGUGGUUGAGGUGUUGCCGCCAGGCAAUCUUGACGGUUUCAGCCACCACUACGACAAACUCCACACCUAUCCUCAUAAGCUCUAUACACAUCUCUAUCCUUUUUAUCACCAUGAUUCUCUUUUCUCUCUCUAGUAGUAAGUCUUGUUUUCUUCAACCCUCUCUCACUUCAUCUUCUUUGUAUUUAUAUCAGCAAACUUCAGAUGCAUCCUCACACAAAAAACUCCAAAAGCGUUUAUAAUUAAUUGUUUCUCCUGAUAGAGACUUAUAAAAUAGAAAAUAAAAUGAAAAGCAUUUACCCCCAAAGAAAAUAAUAGAACUGAACAGAAAUAAUAAAAUAUGGAUAACAAAUUAAAGAGUUAUCAUUGGUGUUCUUUUCCUUAAAUUAUUUUGUCAAACUUCUUUAAGAAAUGAAGAGAAUCUUUUAUUGCCUAAUGGGAAUUGUGUUUACCCCAGUAGUGACAAAAAAAAACUGAAAAAACAAAAGAAAAGAUCCAUUGACAUCCGGAAUAUUAAGGUAGUGCAUGUCAUUUUUUUUCUUUUGAGCUUUACAUAGUUUUCAACGUUCAAAUCAGUAAUGAACACUAGUAACUUUAGUGUCAAAUCUAAAGCGGAUAUGGCUGGAGAUUCGAUAUUUAUUCAGAAAGUAAGAUUAGUGUAGUAGUAGCGUGAUCGUGUGUUAAAGAGUAUAUUAGCUUUAAAUGAGCUCAUAAUCAUAUCGUAUUAUUAGAUCGACUUUGUAUUGUCUGUAAAUGAAUAUAUGGGUUGUCGGAUCAGAUUUGUAUCGACUCGUGCAGGCAUUGAAUAUCUAUCAACUUGAAAUUAGAUAGUCCUGGCUUUGCCAAAUAUUCUGUGUGUACAAAUAGUCCGUCCAUGUGUGUUGUGGUGAAAUGAAUUAAAGAAGUCCAUUCACAUUAAAAUUAGCAACAACCCUUUUUCACUCUUUCGAGAUAAAAUAUCGUUAAAACAAUUUCAAAUAUCUUAGAAUUUCAUUUUGUUUUCUUAAGUUCGCACUGUUUAUUUUCUUUUAGUAAUUUAUUAAACAUAAGAAAUAAUAACACGUGAAGAAGUUGUUUUGGUCGUUUCACCCCUUGAGGAGAAGAAUAACAAAAGAGAUAAGUUCUAUUAAGAUUUUGAAAAUGUAGUUGAAUGAGACGAAAUUUCAUAUAGAUUUUAUUAGAUAUUACCAAAAUAUAAAAUAUACAUUGAUUUUUUUUUUCAAUUUGGUAAAUAAAAGUUAGUCGGAUCGUGGCUCUUCGACGCUACCAAAGGACGAUCUUCUUUUCAACCCACUAGGCACGCGCUCUCUUUAAGCGACCGACAGUAUAGAGAGAUCAAAGAGGUGUAUGCAUUUGGAUUAUCACCCUAAUGAUUGUCCUUCUAUACUUACAAUAUCGUUUUAGCUAUUUUCUGGUCGUCAGCUAUUUUAAUUUGUAAGUCCUAAAUACUGAUUUCAGUUCGUUAAGCAUAUGCAACAUAUCUAUCAUCCAACUAUAUAUAUUCGAUAUAUCUCAUUCUAUGAUUCAACUAAGUGUUUCAAAUAAUUAAAAGAAUCAUCUACGUAUGUUAUGGAACUUGGUAUCAAUCCUUUGAAGUGCUAAGCCCCCUCAAAAAAUGCAACUUCAAUUUACUAAGAGCAUCUCCAAUGUAAAACUCCAUUUUUUAAAAAAAUGGAGUAAAAGUAAAAAUGGAGUAAAAUUGCUCCAACCCUACUCCAUUUCUCACUCCAUUAUGGAGUGAUGAACAAAAAAAAAAUAAACUACUCCAUUUAUGGAGUAAAUUUCAUUAUGGAGUGAGAUAUGAAGUUGGGUUAGAGCAUUCCUUACUUCAUAUCCACUUUUACUCCAUUUAUGAGGAAAAAAUGGAGUUGGAAUGAAGAUGUCCUAAAUGAAAGUUAAAAUAAAAAAUCAACUACAUUAAUGGAUACAGGAUAUAUAUGUUAGUUAGUUAAAACUCCACUUUAAGUCUUUAACUUACCAAAGAAUGUGACAUGAACGGGGUUAUGUCUCCAUUAGCAUGUCGUUAAUCUUAUUGUUUGGACACACUACAGAUAAUUGCUACAAAAGUGCACGUCGCAUUUUCAUCCUCAUGAUAGAGACCCCUCCCCCACAUUGGGUCGAGUAAACCACGCCAUAAAUUAGUCCUUUUCAUACAAGUCUUAAUAAACUAUUGAUACUAUUUGGCUUUUAUAUACAGGGCCGUGCCUGACAUUUGGCAAGCUAGAAGCAAGAAAAAAAAAAUUGACCCAGAAAUGCUCUAUCCAUAACUCGAACCCAGGGCACCCAACAAGAGAAACUCAAAUAAUAGCAUCUUUAACCAUCUCUGCUACCUAAUCUUCAUGAGAAUUGACCCCAAAAAUGUUUUUAUACUGAUUGGCCCUCAAGCAAAUGCUUGAUGGACUUGUAUCCAGGCCCGGCCCUGUUUAUAUAUAUCAACAUCCGAAACGAACAGAAUAACAGUUGCAUGAUUAAACUUUAUUUACCAUUGUAUAAACGUGUUAUGUAUAUCUAAACAAAAUUUGUGUUCAAAAAAAAAAAGUAUAUCUAAACAAAAUAUGUGAAUAUGAUAAGGUUUGGUUUCCUAUUUUAUCAUGAUCUAGAAAAGCAUAUCUUGAAGAAACGCUAAAAUUUAAGAUAUAAAUAAGGAUGAGUUCAACAAAAAGAGGAAAGACUUACAAGCACCAAGCGAUAGAUAACAUGUCACGAGAAGAAAUCGUAAUAUCAAGGGGGAAUCUAUUGAGAUAAUGUUACAAUAACAAGAGGCAAUGAGACACUGGGGGUGAUUGGUUGGGUUGUAACUAUAAAAAAUUUACUUUAGCAUUUUGUCUGUAGGAUUUUUAAUUUAGCAUUAAGUGAUGUAGCUUUAAAAUUUCCUACAGCUAAAAAAAUGAGGCUUUAGAAAAUAAGAUGUUUACAACCAUUUUUUAUGUGUUUUUGCUGUAGCUUUAAUUUUUUGGUUGUAGCUUUAAAAACCAAGAUAAAACAUGAUUGGUAAUAUUUAAGGUUGUAGAUGGAAAUUAAAGCUAAAGUCACUUUCUACAUCCCAACCAAUCACCCCCACUGUUUCACUUUCACAUUGGUCUAUACAUGCUUCAAUCAUUUAAAUAAAAAUAAUGUAACUGUUUUUUUUCUUCCUUAAAUUUAUAGUUGAGUAAUUGGCGUAGAUACACCCAGAAACUCAUGUAAUUUGCCAUAUAAACUUAUUUCUUUUUAAUAUUUUUAAUGACUAUAAUACCCUUAUUUCUAUUUAUCUCUCUUCUCCCUUUUAUGUGUUCUAAUCUCUUUAUCUCUCGUACAAAUUCUUCAAAUCUUCUUCUAAUUCAACACAAAUCUUUAUUUUUUUAUUCUGAUUCUUUUGACACCCAUAAUGCUAAUCUUAUUAUCUCACCCCAAUUCCAAUGUUUCUAAUUUCGAAUCACAAUCAACUUUUAUAUAAUAUACACGUUAGUAGGUAUUUUAUUACUUACAUGCUAUUAUUUAGAUUUUAAUGGAUUCUUAAUCGAUACAUAAAGUGUUAGCUGUUACAAAUAGAUUUGGAGCUAUUUAAUAGAUAACUAAUUAAUUGUUAAUAGUUUCAUUAACUGAUAUAUGAUUUGUUAGUCGAUACAUUUGUUUGAUACAUAGAUUGUUAGAUGAUACUGAAAUUAUUAGCGGAUAUAUUAGUUGGUAUGUAGAUUGUUACCUGCUAUGUAAAUAUUUAGCUGAUAGAUCUAGAGUUACUUGUUUUCGACAAAGCAUAAGGGUAUUUUCGUCCGUACAGUGUCAAAAAGUUACUCCUUUUUGAGUUAUCCAUAAUUAUGGGCAUUCAGCAAAUUUGGACCUUAAUUGGAGAUAUUCCACACAUUGUCUCUUUAUAGUUUAAUAUUAGUUAUUUCUUCUUCUUUUUUUUAUAUCAAAAUUUGUAAUUAUUUAAAAAAAUAUUUAGAAAAAGGGGAAGCUGCAUGAGUAAGCAUCUAAUUUUGAACCCAAAAAGCAUAUAUUAAAGGUCAAUUGCCGUACGAACGUCGUUCUGAAUUGAUUGCUCUACACAUUUAAGCGAGUUUGAAAAAAGAUUAAAACAUCGUCCCAACUCCAUGUCCCAGCUAUUUACUUCCAGAUUGAGAAAUGUGAAGUAGACAUUCUAAUCUUAUAUACUAAUAUACUAUCGGGUUUACUAUUUCUAGUUGUUUUCGAUAAUCUUAGUUAGAACCUAAUAUUAAAAAAUAAAUCAAUUUACUCAAUUCUAAUUUCAUAUCUAAUUUCAGCUUAAUUAUUUAUCUAUUUUUCAAAGUAAGUAACCUUAAAUUUUGCAUUACCCUUGUUUCUAGACUAAAAUAGGUUUCGUUUUUUUUUUCUCUCGAUGUCAAGUAACUUAAAAGAAAAAAACUCUCUAAACGGUUAAUAUUAUUAACAUAUGUAAUUACUGUAGAUACCUACCCAUAUUUCAUUUGAUUGAUUUAAAAGCUUUAAAUAGGUUCGAAAUGUUGGAAAAAACAAGUUUGGAACAAAUUUAAUGUAAAAAGAAGAGAGAGGGGGACCACCCUUACCAUUCAGCAAAGGUUAAAAGAAAAGCGACAAGUAGUAUACAUUUAAGAGCAACAGUAUAGUAGUGGCCCUUACUAGUUUUAUCUUAUCUUUCUGUAAUCAUAUUCUUUUCGUAACAUUGAUGUCUGUAAAUAACAUACUGACUGAUAUAACGAAACUUUUUUUUUUCAUUUCAAAUUUAGUUUAGAAAUACUAAUAUUUUUGCAGCAAGGUCUCUUUUGCAUGUCAAAGAUUCAACUGUGACAAAGUUAGGGCCACUUACAACAAAGCAAACAAGUACACAUUGUUAUUCUUGUUCAUGUUUGUAUCCGAAACCAUGGCGAGACCGCAUCACAUUGCGUACACAAUCUCUCCGCUACUGUCGAUGUCAAGAUCAUCCAAGUCGCUCUCUAGAUCUUCCUCCAUAUCCUCAUCUAUAUCCAAGCUUCCUGUUUUGUCACCAACGUUGAGAACUUUAGAAAAACAAGAAAAUUGAAUAAGCUUUCUUAUCUUUUGUGUUGUUUCACUUCACCUGUGAGGUAAUGGUUUAGACUCUGCAUGCCAGCAGGAGGAACAGUUGCUUCUGCAAUGAUCUGCAUGAUCUCUUCAAUGCUUUGACCUGGUUGAUCCGAUUCAUCAAACUGGCUAUUCAUUGUGUCAUCGUUCAUGAUAUCUACCGGUAGAUUCUUAAGAAACCAUUCAUGGUUCCUUAUUUCAGGAAUUGAUAUCCUCUGCAAGAAACAAACAAAGAGAAAAGCUAAACAAAAACACAUUCAAAAACGUGGGUUACAAGGUAUCUAUGCAUAUACCUUAGCAGGAUCAGCAACGAAUAUUCUGGAGAUCAAGUGGCGACAUUCAGGAGAUAUGUGAACAUAAUCAGGAAUAGCGUACUGAACAUUCAAGAUUCUCUGAGAAAGCAACAGAACAUAAUCUUUAGCUAGCUAUAUAUAUGUUGGAAGAUAACAUUUUUUGUUUCAACUAAUAGAAACCAUGAAGGAAGAAAGCUCUCUCACAUGGAUAGUUUUCCUGAAAUUCUUAGGCUCUUCAGGAUCUUCAAAAGGAUAUGCUCCAACAAGCAUUACAUAGAGAGUUACUCCACAUGACCAAACAUCUGCAACCUGAUGAGUUAUGAUGCAUUUGACCAACUCAAACCAUUAAAGUAUCAAGAUAGUCUCUGUUGCUAUACUAAGAUUUGUAUAAUAUAGCAAAAAAAAAAAAAAAGAUUUGUAUAAUAUAAUUGUUAGUAUUGGAGGGUUACCUUGCCAUCAUAUUCUUUCUUUAGCAAAACCUCAGGAGCGAUAUAAGCAGGCGUUCCAACAGUUGAUUUUGGCUGUGAAUGUAAUACUGAUGACUGAAAAACAACAAGAGCAUACACAAAGUUAUUGUGAGACAGAAUCUAGCACAAGACCAAAAACUUUAUACAUGAAUUUUUAUAUGUUUUGACAAAGAAUGGAUACCUUGGAAUAACCAAAAUCACAUAUUUUUAGACGAGGUGCAGGGCUACCAUCUAGUAACGUAUUCUCCAGCUUCAAAUCUCUGUGACACACUUGCUAUAACAUCAAAGUGAAAUAACAUGAGAGUUUGAUUUUAACAGAGGAUCUAAACUAGAUCAUUUUCUCAUUACCAUAGCAUGACAGUAACUAACUCCUGAAAUGAGUUGCUGGAAGAAAAACCUCGCCUACACAGGUUAUAACCAAUACAUUAAUCUCAUCUUUGAUUUAACCAUCCAAGCCAAAUAAUAAAAGAGAAGAAGACAAACCUCGUCUUCGCUGAAACGGCCUGCAUUGCAGAUACGCUCAAAGAGUUCUCCUCCAGCUGCGUAUUCCAUAACAAUGGCCAAAUGUGUUGGUGUUAAUACGACCUGAAACCAAACAAACAUGAGCAUUUCAUAUAUGUAUAUAGGAGACACGAAAAUUCUCCUUGUGAUUUGAUUUUAAAGAGAGAGAGUUGAAGACAAACCUCUUUGAAUCUAACGAUAUUGGGAUGUCUUAAGGACCUAUGGUUAAUUAUCUCCCUUUUUACAUUUUCAUCUAUCUGUAAAAAUAAUAGAAAAAAAAAAUCAAAGAAAUCUCAUGACCAAUAAUAAUCAUGUUCCACAUUCGAAUUAUGAAAGAUCCAUAUCAGAACAAAGUAAAUGAAGAUGAUGUAACAACUAUGUUGAUGAUUUUCUAUAUAACUAACGCUUCAUUGAUUCACAUAAGCAAUCAAACACACAAGUGAAUUAAAAAAAAAAAAAUCAAGAAACCAGAGGGAUUGAGAAAAACACUAACCUUCUCACCUCUCUCGAUGUAUUUGACAGCAAGAAGCUCGUUACUUAGCUUGUCUCUCAUCAAUCUUGCAACUCCGAAAUUACCGGAGCCAAUAUCUUUGACGAGCUCGUAUCUGUCGCUAUCGUGCAUGAUCGGCAAAUCCAUUGGCCCACUCACUGCUGGUCGGUCCAUGUUUAUGUUCCUUUGUCUGUAUGUUAGCUCAAAGUUGUUUCAAGUGAAGAUUAGAGCAGGUUUCCGGGAGAUAUCUAACAGAGACUCGACAUUACUAAACUGUACAUCUGAAGAAAUGAGCUAACCUGACGUGGAGGAAUUUGAGCCGUUGAGGUUUGAGAAAGGGUAGUAGGUGAUGAUGAUGAUGAAGUUUAUGGGUGUGGGAAAGAGACUUUUUGAGACACGUGAAAUCUCUAACCAACAAGUGGGUUUCUUGAGAUGUUUUUGUUCUUUUGUUUGAUCCCUGUCUUUCUUUUAUGUUUUUUUCCAAUUCGAAGAUGAUUAUGAAGAAGAAGAAAGGGUUCGUGAUGGUAAACUAUGUUUCUCUCUCUAUCAGCUCGUUAUAAAGCAGCUCUCUGUUCUGUCUAAACCACAGCUUGAAGGAAAGAUAUAGAGGAGAGAGAGAUGAGACAGAGUUUUCACAAUUCCUGAAUUGUUGGAAUGUGAUUUGUUAAAAAAUAUGGGAGAAAGUUUUCAAUGACGGAACUACCCUUCUUUCCACUUUGUUAAAUAUGAUAAACAUGAUACAUUGAACUAAAUUUACACACAAAAAAUUUACAUAGAUUUAUUAUCUUUUAUAUCACAUCCCUAUGAUUAAGUACUAUAAGAGUGAAAAAAAUAAAAUUAUUAUAGCAGAAUAUAGCUUUAAUGGUUAAAAAUAUAAUAGUAAUCUAAACUUUUAAAUGAGUAUUAAAUGAAUAAAAGUGUUACAUUUUAAUAUAUUUGUAUUGUGUGUUUUUUGUUGAAUAUGUAUCUAGCUAACCAAUGAAAAAAACACAAACUAUAGUUUAACAACAUAAUUAAUUUAGGGGUUUAUCUGACUAUAAGUUUUGUAUGAACCUGAAGCUUAGCUGAUGAGAUAAUACAAAGUCGCAUUAACAACCUUAUAUAAUCAAUCAUAGACCGCUAUCCCCAAUGCUUUUUUUGUUUCUUGGACAUUUCCCAAUGUAUUCUGACUUUCUGAGGUCAGUAUGUCCCCAAAUGUAUUUUAAUCUAAAUAUAGAAAAGACUUUCCUCUUUGGUAUAUAAAAAGUAUUUUUGCAUUAAAAAGAAGAAAAUAAAAUAAUAAAGGUUGCCACAUUUGUCGAGAUAUUGUUGGCUAAUUUGUCCGAUCUCACCUAAAAGUAGAAGCCGAUAGAGAUGCAUUCAUCAUAGGCCCAUUCCCCCCUAAUAUUAUAAAGUGUGAAUGGGUCUCCACAUGACGCAAUUAUUUAUUUUAAUCUUAUAAAAAUAUAUUUCCGUACAUAAUAUUCCGAAUACACUCUUCUAGAGAGGUGAAGGUUGGUGACAGCAGAGAAGAGACUUUAACAAAACAAAAAAAGUAGAGCACAUAAAAGAAGAGUUCAUAAGACUCGGAGUUGUUUAAAGUUUCCCAUUUUACUACAUGAUCAGCUAUUCAGACAAUACAAUCGACGCAAAAGCUUUGGCUUACCCAAAAGCUGAACUCAAUGCACACCGUUAAUGGGAAUUUGCUUCAAAAAUGGAUCAUAAGAAAGUGCAGAAGCGAUUGGUACCAAACCUCGUCAAAUCGUAGUUUGCAUGAAUGUAGCGAUGGGGAAGAUUGGCCUUAGCUAUUGUAGUUAUCAAGACCAAGGUCUCUCAGUGCAUCAGUUGCAGAGGCUCUGCAUAUCUCAUUGUUUGCCUUAGCAUUCCUUAUCAACUUCUCAAUUCCACUGGCAAGCAGAAUUUUUCUGUAAUUGAACAUAAGCUUAUCUGAUCAGAAUUUGUGCGAUAUGUGAAUAUUGUUGAGAUGAAAGAAAAAAAUUGGAAAGAGAUUUUUUUACCUGUUCUCUGCAUUUCUCACAGCAAUGUUUCGUAUCAUGUUGCAAGCGUUUCUCUGCAUUUGAGCCGCUGCUGGGAACCUCUUCAUAGCUUGGAUCGCCAGAUCACCAGCUCCAGCUUCUAUAGCACUGGCUGCAUGGUCUGGUGAUCUCAGACAGAUUAUAGAGAUUAUAGACAUGACCUGAACAAACCGGUAUAUGUCAACCACAAGGAUUAUGCACUCAGACCCUAGUGUACUAGUUACAGAAAAUAAACUCCUCACUCGACAUAACGUUCUUAUCUAUUCUAGUGUAACACUGCCAUAGACCUGACCCGUAGUCAGUAGUAGUAGUCGCAACAGGAAUGUAGUAAGAGGGUUUUCUUUUGGUUUACUUACCUCUUGUAUGACUAGAGGAUCGUCCGAGAAUCUUUGUGCGAGUUUGAUUAACUUGUCUAGACCCCGCUUCUCAACUAUGGUGCUCUUGUUAGAGUCGCUUCCUGCCAACUAGAGAUUCAAGUACACAUUUAGACAAACAGGUCUCACGCGUGCUUACAAUAAUAAUCUACAUCAGCAAUUCUAGACUCUGGAAAAUGAAAAAUUCGAAAACAUGCAUUAAUCACUCCUCUGUUACAGGGAAAACGUUAACAUACUCUACUGUCUAAUAGAGGUAGCAAAAACUUAAAACCUGAAAUUUAAAGCAGAACUAUCAACAAUUAAAAGACAUUUAAUACUAUAGAGGUAGCUUGCAUGACUAAGAACAACUGAAGGCGUUCAAGACUACAUAGACAGGUUGCAGAACAGUUUAGAAGCUACACACCUUGGACAACAAUGAACAGCACGUCUUCGCAGCAGUAUUGUUGCCUUGUUCACCGCUAUCAUCAAUACACCUAAGAAGUGUGUCUAUUCCACCACUUUCAGCAAUAGAUUUACAUAUUUCAUCCUGUUUACAGAAAAAUAAAUGUGCGUAAGGUGUUACAACAAGAAACAAAAUGAAUAAUACACAAUGACUAACCAGUUAAACGUUAUGAAAGAGAGAUUUGUACUAGCAUACAACUUACGUUUACAGCAAUUGAUUUUAACGCAAUACUUGCUGAGACCAAGCUAUCCGAGCCAAUCCCUGCCUGCAAUGCUUCGGUGAGGGAUCUUGCAAUCCCUAAUUUGGCAAAAGUCCGCGCAUAACUAUAAACCUAAAAACAUAUGACUAUUAGCUAUUUUCUAAUGAAAUAAAGAUAACACUUUCUAGUUGUUGUAAUAUGUGCUUUUAACACGUGAGUAUGAAUCCUACAUACUUGGGAAGCAACCACACGGUUAUCAUCUGGGGUCAAAAGAACACGAAUAGCAUCAUACAAAGCUCUAAUGGUAACUUUACUCUCACGAUUCAGCACUUUCAGAAUAAGCUCAUCGACUUUCAGCUCCAUGAAUAUCUCCUUCACAACUUCGUUCCCAGUGGCUGCAGCAGCAACAACAGCAAAACCAGCAUCUAACAAAUCAGAAUCAAAGCCAGAGUCUCUCAACAGAUCAACCACAAUCCUCGGUCCAGAAGCACUCCUGAACGCCUCUGUACUCUGAAUGUCUGCAAUUAGAUAGUCACAUGAUCAACAAAAAAGGAAUAAACACUAAUUCAAGAACCUUAAUCAUACCAUGGAUCAAUACAGCCAAAGCUUUCAAGCACGGAACAACAAUGACAUUAAUCCUAGCGUCUAUCUUGAUUUUGGAGCAAAUCGAGCAAGUUAGCUCCACGGCACCAUGCUUCGUAGCAAUCGCCACGUUUCCUGACUCUUGGCCGCUACAAAGCUCGUUGAGCUUGACUAACAAACUCGAAAUCUCAUCAAAUUCAUCAUCGAGCUCUUUGAGUCUAUCUAAACAAGCAAUCACUGGAUUGUCCUUGACGCUGCUUUCUCCUGGAACACAAGUGAUGAUCCCUAUAGCACACAAAAGGAAAACAAAAGAAGGAAUCAUUUCCUCCUCUAAGCAUGAGUAUAGAUCCAGCUCAAGAGAGUAAGGGAAGUGAAAGCGAAAAGAGGUUACGGACCGGAGAGAUCGACGCCUUGGAGCUUGAGUGUGUAGAGAGCGUCUUCGAGAGCUUCGGAAGGUUCCAUUCCUAGAUCUUCCACGUUUUCCUUAACGAGAUCGUCGAAUGCCUCCUGAGAUAUCGCACGAGUAGCCAUUCUCGCUUGCUCCGCCGUUAUACGAUUCGUCGGAUGAUAUAGAAAUCGCCGUUCAGAUGGAUCGGAGAAAAAGAUUGGAUUCAAAAUUGUGUUUGGGAGUAGAAAGGGUGUUGUGGUAAAACGGCGCCGUUUCUUAGCAUCCGCGUUACAUUCUCGAGAUUCCAGACGACCACGUUUAGGCGUCAUAGCUGGGAUAAACGGCAUCGUUUGUAGCAUCUCGAGAUUCCACACGACGACGUUUAAGCGUCACAGUUGGGAUAAACGACGUCGUUUGUAGCAUUUGCGCUAGAUCGCCUCGAGAAUCUCGAGAAGACGACGUUUUAAAACCGUCAAUACAAUACUGUUUAUUUUUUAUCUUUGAAUUGUUUGAUAAUAGACGAAUAUACUCAAUAUGAUUUUGCUUAUGGACAGUAAACUGCACAAAACUAAUGGUUUUCUAUGAUCUAACCAAACCUAUCCACAAUGAACAAACGUUUGCUUUCUUCUUCACAUGUUAAUACAACUCAUUAGUCUGUUAAAGCUUCCCUUUGGCCUCAUUCUGGUUCAAGUUCUGCAGCUGCAACAUGCCUAACCCGCUGAGCAAGACGUCUCCUCCUAUAUACCCCCACCAAGCGCAGAAUCAGAAUCAUUGCUAUAGCACUGAACUCGAACACCGUCACUAUUCUGAACCCUCCUGUACAAAACGGUGAACAUCAGUCUUUUAGAAAAAGGGUUUGGACUCACAAGAACUUCGAUUCUAAUCACAUCAAUCUCAAAUGAUUCUUGCAGAGGCAUAGGCCAGGAGAAUCUCAAUCUUGUGAGGCAACUUACCCGUUGGGAUGAAAUUAAACUCGGUGGCAGUGUAGAGGGUACUCAUCAACAUCUGCAACACAGAAACAAACUUAGUUUCUCUUCCUUCUAUAGUAGAAUAAUAGAUACAAAGCUGUUACUCCUACGAUAAUCACAGAGCAUAGAACUACCACCGAGAUGGAAACUAUGGCUCAAAACGUUCUUAACUGCAAAGAUGCGAACUUCGUUAAAAUGCAGGUUGGUAGUAUCCGGAUCCAUAAUGUGCCACACCAUUCUCUUCAUUAACAAAGGCAGCUCCUGCACUUUCUGAAACAUUUUGAACGAUGAUGGUUUUUGUCAAAGCCAAAGCACUCAUGAGAAUAUGAAUCAAAUCCAUUAAUUACCUGAAGAAAGCCAGUUAAACCUCCAACAAAGAGACGGUUAUACCUACGGAUCUUAGCAAGAACCUCCUUCACCUCCGGCUCUUGGCGCUGUUGCAAGGACGCUUCCGGAGAGAGCUUGGUGAUGUGACGAACACACAUGGGACACUUGCAAGGCCUUGAUACCGCAGCGUAGUUCCAGUACUGCAAGAUGCAGCUUCCUAUAUGUAACACCACAACACUAAUAAACGAAAUUGGACUCAGAAAAUUUUAUUAAGGAAGGAGUUAAAGAUCGAGCAAUUACCGCAAUACCAAUGGCCACAAUCACCUCGACACGGAACCGUGAAGGAGCCGAAGCAGAUCGGGCAGCAAUCAUCCUCUGGAGGCGUCUCGCUCUGUGUCUUCUUCCUCUCUCCGUCAUUAUCCCUUUCGAUCUUCCUCUCCUCUGCUGCCGUCACGGCUCCGUCAGCGAGCACGACGGCGUUUGAAGCCUCCUCCGGCUCGCUACGACCAUGAGUUUCCGUCGCCGUGGCGUUUACCUCGUCGGUUUUCACCUCCAUUCUCUAUCUCUCUCCGUUUCGUCGCGUUCUUGGAAGAUUCUUGUUUUACGAACUGAGUAAAUUCGAUUGAAUUUUCAACAGCUUAUUAUAAGAUGAAAAUUUCAAAGCGUGUUCGGAUGCAAAUGACUGAUUUACCCUCGGUAUUUUCGGUAAGAUAAAGGUAAGUUAGAAUGUCAGAUUCAUUCAAGUAUGAUUUUAAUACAAGUGGUUAAUUUAGGUAAAUCUAUACUAUACUAAAAGGGAGAUAUAAGCCAUGGAGAGGGUUAUAUAUAUAGGACAGUUACCACUAAGCCAUUGAAACUUUCUUGGACACAUAUACAAAAACCACUAAGUAUAUAAUCACAAACUCUUAUGUACAUUUACAAUAAUAUGAAUUCAACUUUCAAGACUCCGAUACUUUGUUUUGUAAAAAAAAAAUAAGUAAGUGACUAAGCUAAUAUAUUCUUAGAAAGUGUGAGAACGUUGACAAAUAUGAAAAAGCAUAGAUUUUUGUUUUCGUGACAAAGUUAAGAUUUUUAAAAGUAAAUUUAACAUAUAAAUUUUCGUGACAAAUAUGAAAAAGCAUAGAUUUUUGUAAAAUUUUGACAAAACAACUCAUAACAUACUUCUCUAAUGUCUUAAUAAAAUAUUAUUUAAGGGUGCAAUAAUUAAAUAUAUUAAUUCAAUAAAGUUUGUAAUUUAUAGACAAAACAAUAACACAACAAAUUUUGAAACAUUUGUUUAACCUAUCGAUUUUUUUUCAUGAGAAUCCAACUAAACAAGAUAAAAAUAAUAAUUAGAUUUACAAAUAUUUAAUUACCAUUUUAUUCAAUUUUGAUUAAUUUCAAAUUGUCAUAAUGUAUCUUUUUGAAGUUACAAAUAUGAAAAAGCAUAGAUUUUUGUACAAUUUGACAAAACAACUCAAAACAUAUUUUUCUAAUGUCUUAAUAAAAUAUUAUUUAAGGAUGCAAUAAUUAAAUAUAUUAAUUCAAUAAAUUUUAUAAUUUAUAGACAAAAAAAUACCACAACAAAUUUUGAAACAUUUGUUCAACCAAUCGAUUUUUUUUCAUGAGAAUCCAACUAAACAAUUAGAUUUACAAAUAUUUAAUUACCAUUUUAUUCAAUUUUGAUUCAUUUUAAAUUGUUAUAAUGUAUCUUUUUGAAGUUACAAAAAAAUAAUGUUCUUUCUUUAUUACACUAGCAUUAUAUAUAGAUUCUAUAUACACAAAAUAAAUAUAAUAUAACAACAUAAGCUUGCUUUCCCUGAUUCAUAUGAAAACUUUUUAAGUUAUCCACCAAAGCAAAUUAAUUAAAUCAUUGAAAUUGUUAAAAUACAGCANNNNNNNNNNNNNNNNNNNNNNNNNNNNNNNNNNNNNNNNNNNNNNNNNNNNNNNNNNNNNNNNNNNNNNNNNNNNNNNNNNNNNNNNNNNNNNNNNNNNAAAUUACAGUGGAGUCAACAACUCCCUCAGGCAUAUUCAGGAGAGAUUGUUGUAGCUCUAUAAUGGCACUGUCCGAACGCCUAGUGAUCCAAAGAAGUUUUGCCUUUUCCAUGUGAACAUUAGGUGCACCAGAAGCCUGAGCUUCCAAAAGUGCCCUGUGAGCUGUCUCAUAGUGCCCAGCCAAACGGCAAAGCUUUGCAUAUUGAAGCCAACAGUUCCCAACUUGAGCACCAAGCCCAGAGGCACCAAAGACAAGCCUUCGGAAAGCUAAAAGGGGUUCCCUUGUCCACAAUGAUGAUUGAGUGAACCUGAGCCGGUUCUCCCAGUUAUCAACUACUUUUGAAAACACUGGAUCACUUGUACUAAAUGAUUUCUCCAGAUAUGAUUCCCCAUUAAGAAGCGCCUGGAAGUCCUCUAGCUCUCUUAGCAAGUGAAGUUUGACAACAAAAGGAUAAGCUCGUGUAUAGGAGUCCAUGCCUGCAGCAGCUAGAGGAGCAAUAAGAGCUUGCUUGGAAAUUGCUAUUCUCUCAGCUACGGAAUAUUGAUCCUUCUUCAUCAUUGCUUGGAGAAUCUUUGCAACAUCUCUGUCAAAAGAGGCAUUACUGUCUGAACUACUGAAGAGUAGACCUUCUUCAUCUGCUCCACCAAGAUACUCAUCCAUCAAGUCCCAUUUUCCGAGUCUCCAUGCAGCUUGUACACCUUGCGUACACCACGUUUUCUUGUACUCAGGUACUCUGGAAAUUAGUCCGUCAACAUGAGUGACCAUUGUCUGAUGGUGGCACAUGUUAAGUAAGCAAUUAAGAACAUCUGAGUGUCUUUGAACUGAUGUUGGUUCCAUCUGAAGGGCUUGUUCACAUGCAGUAAAAACUUCUGCCCAGUUACCAGAUUUCUUAUCUAUCAACAAUUGGUCUUGCAAACUUAACGAUUUGCUUAAACUUGCAAAGCCAGAAAGACCAUCAGGCUCGUCAAGACAGCUGUAUAUUCCCAUCAGAGAAGAAACAUCAGCAUUUUCAAAGAAGCCUGUCUUCUCAGCUGCCGGAUUCAAGGAACCCGACUUUUCACGUACAUGGGAUUCAAGGUACAUCAACGACCUAGCAUAUGCUUGACACCUGAAUGAUGCCCUAGCAAGGGUCACCUUGGGAAUAGCAAGCAAAAGCUCCAACACAUAUUUACACUGUACAAGAAGUUGAUCCUGUUCUGUUGUUGAAGUUGAAACCUGGUCUUUUGAUUUGGAUGCUACUUGUCUACCGCCUGAUGACUGUACAGACAAUGAGAGUGCUACUCCCUGCUUCACAUCAUCAACCCAUUGCCCAAGGUUGUCAAGAAGCGUGAAAACAGAUUGAACACAAACUUCACUCCGACCAACACCAAAAUUGUUUACCCCACUAUUUUCUGAUGUAGCAGCAUCAAGAACAGAAAGGAUCUCUUCCGAAAUGCUAAGCCGUGCUGCCUCCGUCCCAUGGCAAACAACAUCCAAAACUAAAUAUGGUAAGAGAUAAGUAGCUGUCUGCAUAUCGUGACGCACUAUGCCCCGGCAAGCAGCAAAUAUGCUUACACGGGAUCCAUUUGCAUGUGCUGUCAAUUUCUUUAUCCAGUAGGAUAGCCAUCUUCUGAAUGACAUAGAUGGCCGAUAAAUUGGUCCAGCUGAUCCGGGGUCAGACACAUUUGGAAGCUGAAACCUUGAAGUCAAGCAGGGAGCUAUUAGUUCUUUAACAUAGUUUGAGAACCGGCCCCAUAGUUUGUGUCCCCUUUCAUUCACUUCACUGCUACGUCCAGACUUUAUAGAACCAGAUACACUGACUUGCACAGGUUCCUGAGACGUAAGGACAACAACAUUCCCAGCUAAUGAUGGCUCACAACCAGCAAUCUUUAGUAAUUCCUGUAUAGCAAGAGCAGCAGAGUCUUGUAUGAUUGUAUCCUGUGCAGCUCUAAAAGCUCUUGCCAAGUGUUUGUCGAUGAGCUCAAAGAUAAGAUCAUCAUCUGAGCACUGGAUUUUAAAACGGUUGCACGAAGCAACUCUCACUUUGGCGGGGUCAACAGCACCUACAGCUCCAAGACAAUCUGCACAGACUAGCUUCAACCUCUGACCCACUGUAGUUCUUGAUUCUUCUGAACAUCCCUGUAGUAACGAUGUGAUCAAAGAGCUCAAGAUCUCCAUGUCUGACAUAAGUUCACCGGAAAUCAGUGCAGCAACAUCUUCAUUUCUUUGAUAUAACAAUUUGCUUAGCUCACAUGCCACCAUGUAUCUAACAUUCAGGUUCUCAUGUUUCAUACCAUUUACAAUUUCCCGUAACUGAUCCUUCAGGCUCAUUAAUCCACGUGCUUCUUGAAUAGCAUUGUUCAGUCCUGCUAAAGAAGGUAUGCUAGGUAAGAGUGGGAACUCACAGAUGUGCUGCUUUAGUAUAUCUCUAUUCUUCAAAACAAGUUCUUCAAGAAUUUUCACCACUUCGUCUAGACAUACAUGGGGACCUUCCUUCUCUCUUUCCAAGAAGGGUAUAAGCGCCGCAAAAACCUGAGAAAUCACAUGUUUUAUGCUAGACGGCGAGACGGCGGCCAAUUUUUUUGUGAAAAAAUGCAAGACUAAGAGACCCUCGCUCUGAAGUGCAUCUUUGUCAAUGGCAUGCAUAAGGAGAACCAUAAGCUUCGGCACAUAUGUGCUGAGAUAGUGACCCAUCAUCUCAAUGAGCAGCUUAAUACGCUUCAAUGCUUGUUUUUGAAGGAAAAUAUCGUCGGCAUGAAGCAUUUUUCUGUCAAUACUGUUAAGGAGUCCAACAAAAUGGUUUUGUAAGAAUCCUGGAAGAUCUUCAGCAUUUGUUAAGACUUUUGAGAUUUUCUUUAUUGCUUCAGGCAGUCUCUGUAGCCUGCAUAAGAAAAAUUCUGAAAUCAAACAGUAUGUCAUAAGAACAAACAAAAAGGACGUUCAGUUAUUUGUUUAAAAUGAUGAUUGAAGUUUCCUCUCACGACUUUAAACAACCUCUAUCUAGUCCAGUUAACAUGUCAACGUUAAUGAGCACACGAUAGAGCCGUAACCAUGCAUCAAAAGAAGAAGGACAACAUACCGUCUAUCUGUCUCGGCUGUAUCAGCAAUGUCCAAAAAGCACACAAGCUCAUCUAAGAGUGCAGGUAGUGCAGCAGAAAAAAUUUCUUUGUUGUCAGAACCAAUCUGUGAAUGAUACAACUGCAAAACUGAGAGGAGAUUCUUCUCUUCUUCUUGAUUCAGAGCAAAAGCAAGAACUCUGGGUAGCCAAUUUACUAUUAGAGGUACCACAUCUGUGUCUAAUAACUUGGCCAGUUCGUUCAAGGUCUUUGCUGCUUGAGCAUUGUCCUGCCAAUAUACCAAGAGCUUAGGAAGAAUAACAGGGACCAUUUUCUUCACCAGUUCUUCAGUUUCAACACCCAAAACAGCCUCUGCAAAUUCUCUUACUACAUUUGGACGGAUGGUCAGCCUGGCAGAUAGAUUAUCAAACAAUUUAGUUUGAAUAUGUGCAGCUCUGGAAAGUAGCAUCGCAAAUCCCCCUUUCACAUGGAUGUAGCAUGACCGAUUUAUUAACCUUGACGCAUUUACUCGGACGAUCAAGUUUGGAUGAUCAAGCUGAUCAAUCAGCAGGANNNNNNNNNNNNNNNNNNNNNNNNNNNNNNNNNNNNNNAGCAGGAAAAGAGAAAACAAGAAAAGCUCACUGGUAAUAUCAACAGCUACCAUAACUUCAGCUGCCGUUUCCAAGAGAGUCUGAAUGACAAGCAGAUCCUUAGCUGUUGCUAGAGAAUGCUCAAUCAAAUCAACAAAGUUCCUUUCGUAACUUUUUUCCGUAGCAUACUCAUCAAGAAACAAACAGCUCACAAUAGGUUGCUGUACAAAGAUACCAAUCUGCGCACAGAAUGCUUCCCUUACAUCUGUAUUUACAUGAAGUAGCAGAUACUGAAGGCAUCUUAUCCAUUGAGACCGUGUUCUGACCAGAAUAUCUGGGGUUGUGUGACCAAGAACUCUUUGUAUUACUUCUACACAGGCUAGUUGAGUCUCUUCAGAAGAGUCAUCAUAUAGAAGGUUAAAAUAUAAGGAUUGAAGAUCAGAGUAAUCACAAUGAUGACCCAUUUCUAAAUUUCCCAUCUCGGGAGUCUCUAUGAUUCUGAAAUGCUUCUCAUCUUUGCUUUCGAUAAGUUUAUCACACUUCGAACACUGGAACCCUUGAAGUAGACAGUUCAGAGUCUCAUCUUUCUUUAUAUCUUCAUGUAGGAAUAAAUGGCAUGCAGUUUUCUCUGGGCCAGUAGCACUUGAUCCAUAUAGGCACGAUAAGAAGCCAAGAGACUGAGGAAUGGUUUUCUUAACCAUCAAAUCCUCUUCUUUCAACAAAUGCCUACGAAUGUAAGACAAAAGAACAGUUAAGUUACGUUUUAAAAGAACCCUGAGCAAAAAGAGCAAUAUGAACUUUAGAUUCAUUAUAAUGUCAUUUUUCCAACUCAUUUCAAUAAUUCUUUUAGUUGCUUUGAUAGGUGCUAUUACUGUGUCUCGUCAAUAAAAAAAGUUCUGAUUAGUAAAAUUAUCAACUUACUCCAGCCUUCGGAAUAUAUGAGGAAGGGCAUCAAGACCAGUGAAAAGAACUUUAAGUGGCAUGGAGAUAACAGCAACAGCUCGCACUUGUUCAGAAUCAUCUGAAAGAGCCAUACUGAAUAUAUCAAAACCACUCCCGGAUUGUAUUCCAAGCUUCGUCCAUAUCCCCACGGAUAAGCACUUAGCCUUUCGUAGCGAACUAGGCCUCUUAAACAGCAGAGAGUGCGUCCAGGGAAGCUUCAGCAAGACUUGUAUAGCAUCCAAAUCAUUCUCUUUACUUGUAUAUUCAUGUUGUAAAUCCAAAUCUGAUGAAAGGAGAAAACAUCAAGAAAUGCUGAACCCAAAACUUGUAUAAAGCAAAGGAAAUGUCAGACUUCAUGGACAAGGAAGGUUACCAAGCACGAGUAGCAUAUUAUAUAUUCCUUCCAAAUAAAGAGAGAUAUCGAAGAUGAUAGAGCUUUUGUUCUCAACCUACAUACGGAUCUUUUUAAAUUAAAAAAAAAACUGAAUUGAAAACUUUAAUAUAAGAAAGGGAUUGGGGAGUUUAUGGUUACCUGCUCAGCUAUCCAGGGUAUCCAGGCAUACAUCUGGCGAAACAAGCGAUAAGUCAUUCUAGUCCAGGGACAUAAACAAAAUGCAUUGGUGAGAAUGCUAAGUGCCAUUAUCGAAAUUUCAGGCCGUAAUAGACUAGGUCCAGCAGGUGGAGCCUUUAAAGAUUCUACAGCUGAAAUAAGCAUCCUAUGCAGAUUGGCAGAAUCCUUUCCAUCAGUCUCAUCAGUAAUUUCAGGAGCAAAGUAAACCCCUUGUUGAGUAUCAACACCAACUUUCUGGCGCUUCCUUUUGUGGGUACUUCCAUCCUUCAUAUGCCUUUUUUGCCCAGCGUUAAUACCCUGAACAGGUCUAGCACUUGCUGCUGUUGUAUGACUACCACAUUUGGCUGUAUCAAAAUCAGGCCCAAGAACUACAAGAACUGCUUGAAAACAUUCUAUCAAUUGAAAACAAGGUUCUGAAAGAUGAAGCAACUCUAGAAGGCAAUGUAGCUUCCAAACAUAAGGAGGACAAGAUUUCACAAUCCGCACAUAAGCACUGCACAGGGAAGCCUGCAUACAUAAAUACCCAGGCAUGAUUUCCCAACAAGUUGUUGAAAGUGCAGCAGCAAAAAUCAAAUAGAAAUAAUUUCAUCAGAAAUUCAUACAAGAUUGAGACAUGUGUAUGAGAUCCAAAUAUACCUUAAGCUCCUCACUCUUUGUUCUCUGUAAUGCAUGAGGGAAGACCAAUACUAUACUUUCUGCAGUUAGUUUGACAGUAACAUCAGAACAACUGGAAUAUACUGUCGCAAGGCAACGUCCAAGGGUAGAAUCAUAAACCGCAUUCCUGUAACACAAACCGAGAAUUUGAAGUCUUAAAAUGAAGGUCAUUUAUCCGAAGUUUCAUAGGAAUAUGUGAGGAAGGUAAACAGAAAAGAUUCAAAAAAUUUUAAAAUUAAUUCACGAUCAUGUCAGAAUCUUGACAAGUUGGGAAACACACCUGUACACAGGAAGUCCUUCUUCAUCUGCACUUAAAAGGAGUAUGAUUGACUGUAUCAAACCCACAUGAGGGAGGAUGUUGAAACUAAGGAUAGAUCCAACGAGAGAAGCAAGUUCAAAGCAUGCCUUCCAAAUCAAUACAGAUAUCAGAUUAGUAUCCCCAAAAAUCAUCCUUACACUAACAAAUCAGAAAAACCAAAUCACCAAGCGAAUGAGCAAAAUAUCAACUCACCAUCUGCACAUCAGCACCACCAUAGCAUACCAAAGAACAAGCCGCCUUUAAAAAUGACGUAUGGAUGAGACCCUCAACGUAGAGUGUCCCCUCGGUUAGGCAUUUACAGAUGAGUUUAAUGACACAAGUAGCAAAAGGCUCCCACCGUUUGGCUCCCAAUAAGCUCAACACAAGACCAUCCCCCUCUGCUGGCUUAUUAGCAACAGGCAGAUCACAAAGAUGACAGGAAUCACCCCAAACUCCGGAAAAGGACAUAGAGAAACACCUAAUCGGAAUGUGAGAUUCAUAUGCAAUAGGUUGCAUAUCUGGUGGACACAUAGAAAAAGGCAUGUUAAGUAGAAGAACUCGUAUUAUUAACAUUCACAGAAUCACUUGGUCUUUGAGUCUCACCUUGAAUAGCCUGCAAAGCGUCGUGGAAGAACAUACGGUAGGCCUUCCUUGAGUUGGAACGCAGCAGCAUUAAGAGAGAUCCAACAGUGUCGAGUAUCACUACAUGCCCAGGACUGCAAUUGGUUAACAAAGAGAAACACAUUAAACCGAAACUCGGUCUAGUAACCAGUGGGGGAUUCAAACUUACGCAAAUUCCGGUUCAGNNNNNNNNNNNNNNNNNNNNNNNNNNNNNNNNNNNNNNNNNNNNNNNNCAGCAAAAAAGGGCAAAAUAUGAGCAAUCACAGGGAAGACGGCAGCAGGAUCUCCGUGAUAGAAAACUCCUGGAAGAUUCCUCGCUGUAUGACCAACAAGCUUCAGUACAGCUGUCACUUCCCUCCUGCUCCCUGGCAAAAUCAAUCAUCCACAUCUGAGGUUUAACCUAAUUGAAAUCAUCCAGAGGGGAAAAAUAGAGAAAGAGAUUGUGGCGAUUUGGUACCCAGAGAAGGGACGACGUAUGCGUUCAGAAGAUUAGGGAUGACGGCUCGAAAUCGAAUCUCUAGAGCAUCGUCUUCUCCGUAAGCGUGGCCAAGGUUGUUAGCCGACGAUGCUGCGACGCGUUCACGGAGUUCGUGAACCAAGCUCGAGAGAUUAUUGUCGUUCGCCAUUUCAGUGUGUCCCAGACGCUUCUUCUCCGCCUGCCUCUCUCCCCCUCUCUCCCUUCCCUCCCAAUUUUUUAAAAGAAAAUAAAAAAUGUAAUUUGUGUAGUGACUGGAGAAUAAUAUGGGAGGGAAACCAAGAAAAAAAUGCAAUAUAUAACAAACAAACAAUUAGUAAUUCAAUAUCUACAGAUAUAAAUAUUUUAUGUAUUUUCAUUUCUAUCAAAAUAAAAUAUUUUUACUUUCCAAAAGUAUGUAUACACUUUUUGUAAUAUAUUUUUGGAAAAUAAAUUUUAUAUAUUAAAUCAUAUUCGGAUUUCUUCAAAAAGUAUUCAAGAUAUAAAUAUUUAUUCGAUCUGCAUUGAGACAAACAGUUCAUAUUUGUUGAACAUAAUCGAGAACAUAUCUAACUCGCUUAUUUUUACAUCGGAGUUAACUUAAAACUUGAUUGACAAAAUAUUUACAAAGCACUAUGCUUCUUCUUCCCUCUUUUUUUUUUGUGCAAAUCAUAUUCACUAUAAUUAAACCAGAGUUAUAAGAAACAAAGCUUGUACGACAAAACUGUCAAUUAAAACAUUAACAUUCUGAGAAUAACCUAAACUUGGUAGACUUAAAUGAUAGAGAUAGAAGGUAUAUAUCUGCUAGCACCUAGAGAAAAUCCAUCCCACAGGUGAGGGCGAAGGUUAUGGCCGAGCGAAAAGCCAAGGCUUCCGCCAUAAGGGGCGACAAUGCGAAAGUUGAAGUUGCUGCAUACUGUGAACAUGAUAUCAGAUCAUCAAUAAUCUAACUAAAACUAUUUUACUUUUUUUUUUGAAACACUAUUAAAACUAUUUUACAAACAAUACUAUUUUGACACAUUUUCUUGUUCACAAUGUCACUUUGAACUUCCAAUUUAAUUUAUAUAUGUUUUAAGAUUAACAUUAAUUGCAAAAUACUUAAACUUAUAAAUAAUUUUAUUUAUCUAGAAGUAUUAGUUAAACUAAUAUAAUUAUUAGAGACAUAAAUGGACUUCGAUCAUUUUUCUAAUUUAUGUAAAAAGUUCAAAAAAACAUUCUUUGUAAAACAAAGGGAGUAUAAGAUUUUGCAUUUGGACUGUUGCCAUAAUUUACUGUUAGGCAGUUUUGCAAAGCCUUCGAUCAUGAAAAGCAACUCCAAGUAAAAAAGAAUGAUCCAACUUGUAAACAUCUCCUGGGGAUUAACUUCAAAAGUUUUGGUUUGACACAUUCUUUCCCCUAAUGCACAAAGACAUUAAUGUCUAGGAUGGUCUAAAGUACAUACAUAUGGGUGGAUUGAUUCUUAAGAUGGAAAGAACCGCAGACGGUAUUGUCCAUAUUCCAUCACCACAUAUCAGUCCUGAAGCUACUGCACCCGAGUAAUCAUCUGCGUCUUUCUUAUCCAUCCGUUCCCAUAUGAACAAAACCACGGUCCCAACGAACAUGUCGAUGGCAAAGUACGCUCCUAUAUAGAAUGGAGCAGCCAUAGCCAUAGGAAGUGGUGUAAACUUAGAGAUCUUAGGCGGUGUGAUGUCUCUGACAAGAUUCACAACGAGAGCAGCGAGAAAGAAUCCGCAACAAAGAGCCAAACAGUGUUUAGGCAGUUUCGCAAACCCUUCUAUCCCAAGAAUAGCCAUUUCUCGGUAGAUAACAGCGUAAGGCGCUUUGUAAAGACCAUCGGGAUCUCCGACCUCAAAAGCAGUCCAAAACAUCCAAAACGUGAGAGGAGCGAUCACGCAACCCAUUGCUGUACCCAACAGCUGAGUUACAAACAUGGAUUUCGCAGAUGAUAACGUGAGGUAACCUGUUUUGAAGUCUUGCAUGAGAUCUGCUGCGGUUGAGACGAUUGCCAUCAUAACACCACAUGCUGAUAAACCGGCAAUGACUCCACCACCACCACCACCACUAUUGUUUUCUACAAUCGAAGCUAUGGUGAAAAGACCAAUCUUUCCGUAGGUCGAAGGCAGGCUCAUAUCCGUGAGCCCUGCUCCAUAAGAGUUGCAAAAGGCUAGACCCGGUGCAACCAAGUAUGAAGAGAGGACAAAGUACCAUUUCAAUGGUGGGAAUAUUAACGGGAUGGUUGCGGUCGAAAUGGCUGCUAGACACACAUAACCAGAAACCGCGAAACCGAGGGGUAUAUGGUCCUUGAGAAACACUUCAUCUCUUUUCUUCUUCUCCAGCAGUGAUUCCAAGCGCUCACCACUCUCAUCUGAAUCAAGAAACUCUUAAGAAAUAUGUUUGAGAAAGACUAUUACUUAAAAAUUGCGAUAGAUAAGUCAGAAUCAUAUGUCCUUCACACCUAAAACGUCAGUAAAGACAGGUAGAUAUUGUUGUUUGUUGAAGAGUUCCUUCAUAGUGAGAAUAGUGAUCUUGAUGAGGUUGUAGAGACCGUCACCAAGGAUGAUAGCAAUGGGGAUAAAGACCUAUAAAUGUGGUAAUGACAUGAAAAAAAGCAUGGUUCAAGAAAGUACAUAUGAAAAAACUUAUUAUCGUUACCUUAUAUCCGUAGAGACCUUUGAAAUCGUUGGUCUCAAGGUCAGAUGGAUACCAGUCUCCAGCAUGUUGUGAUAUGAACGGCCAGAGGAAACCCCAAGAAAUGAUAGCGCCCAGAAGAACAGAGCAGUUCACUAAAUGGGGACAUAUCAGACCACAUCCAAUAAAAGUAGGACUAAAAUCAAAGUAAAACCUGCAAAGUCAUGAUAACUUGUUACAACACAUGAUAAUCUUGUGUAGUGUUAACAGAGAAACUUACGUGUUCUUGAAUAGGGUCAAACCAAGUGUGGGAAAGUUAUCAAACCCACAUGCAUCUCCAAUACCACUAAAGAACCACUUGAAGCAACUCCAAACAAAGCUAAGGCUGAGAUACUUCCCAAGACAUUUAACUUGGUUUCUGAAGUAAUUAAACAAUAAUAUUAGAGAUAAACAUUAGAGCAAAAAAAAAACAGGUAGUGAGAUUAAAGAUGAUAUCUCUGAAAAUUACCCUGCAAGCUCGGCUCCAGAGUUGUCAUGAAAACUGUUAAUCAGCAUUGCUGUAGCGGUUCCACUGGGAUACGUAAGCUUGUAGUCCAAAAUCAUCACCUGAGAUAACACUUUUGAAUAAGUAUCAAGAAACCACAAACAUCUAAGAAAUCUUUUCUCUUAAUUAGUGAGAUGAUACCUUGCGAAGUGGAACGAGACUGAAGAGACCGAGGAAGCUGACAGCAAAUAAGAAUACAAUCAUCCACCACAAUCCAGGAUUUAUAACAUCUUCAGGAUUGUUUCCCGGACGAUCAGCACCAAUGAGCUUGUAUGUCCUCUCAUCCAUAGCUAUCAAAUACGAACCAAAUCCUCCUGAACACAGUUAAAGAGUUAGAAACUCUAUCAGAGGACCAUUCCAUAUAAUCCUUAUGUAGUAGCAAUCAGUAAACAGUCACAUAGACAUAAAACUUGGAAGCUUAUUACAAAAUCACACAAAAAUAAUCAAAAGUUAUCCACAAGAUCAACAUUUAAAUAGCUCAGGACAUAUCUUAGAACAGCUUAGGUGUGAAAGGAGAUGUCAAUCUCAAUUUACCGCUAUAGGCGAGGCCGUAGCAAGCGACAACGCAAGUCUGAAUAACGGUGUUCUCUUGCUUGGUAAAGGGUUUAACUGAAAACCCUAGUUUCGACAAGAAACCAGUCCAUGACUUGACGAAGAAGAAACCGAGGAGACCAGCAGCUACAUUUAGCGAAGGAAUGAUUCCGACAGUGAGGUUAAGCUUAUGGGUAAUGAUGCAGAACAAGAUCCCUAACAAGGCGCUAGCGAUCAAGCCUCGGGUCGUGAUCUGAUCCUUCCAAUGAGGUAUAACAUCUUCGUCAUGAUUCGUUGCAGGGAACAACAAUGUCUCUGAGAUCUCCAUUGACCUUAGAAUCUCUGUCUCCAUUACUUCCUUUCCCCUCGAAACUUAGCAGCUUUAAGUUGAGAAUCUCCGUUGACCAAGAUUAGUCCAUGUGAGCUGUCAACGAGGAUAGGAUAGUGAUUACAGAAGCACGACACGACUACUAAACAAACGAACAUGGCCUAUAUGGUAGUCAAUUUGCGAAGACUGAUGUACUUUUAGUUAUCAAUAAAAUGGUGAAUUAAUCUUUUUUUCUUUAAUUAAGUAUUAGUAACAGUUUUGUCAUAUCUAUUUUUAAUGACCAGAAAUAAAGGUCUGAGAACAUGAAAGCAAAACAGAACAUAGCUUUAAAGAGCAGAGCAACGAUUUAAAAUCAAAACCUAAAGCAAAUGGAGUUAACCUGAUGGUCGCACCACAGGCAACUCAGGCUAAACGGUGGAGAACCAAUCUCAGAUGAUCAUGGAAAGUACUCUUCUGAGUUAGGUGAAUUAACUAUGGUCUUUCACUAAUUCAUUCUAAAGCAUGUAACUGUUUUCAAAGUUGUUAUACAAUGCAAAUUCUCUCUCUCUCUCUCUCGUUUGAAAAUGAUUAUUAGAAGUAAAAAAAAACGUUUCUGAUCAUUAGACUCUUGCGUGUGUGUGGAAGUUACUGCCUCGGUGGAGGAGGCAACUGAGAUUUAGCAAAACUGAUCCAUGUAGCAAUUCCAGCGGCUAAGAUGACCCAUCCCAUUACAUCAUACUUGAGAUCACUGCUCUUCUUUUUCUUCACAUUCUGCGAUAGAAAAAAAAACACACAAACGUUAAUUAGAUUUCACUUCAUCAAAACCCCCAAUUCGCAUUUUUGGAGUAAAAAGAAAGGACCUCUGAAGUCGAGGCAGAGGCUGAUGGUCCAGCGACACCGCCUAAAGCUUGUGGGCCUAAACCAUGGCUAUGAGCAGCUUUAUGCAGCUCUGGAGCCUGCAACAAGCGCGUUGGUCAAAAGAACAAAAACCAAAUCUUCACAUCAACUAUUGAGAGUCCAAACCACUAGCAAAAACUCCUAUUACUAGAGGAACAUCAACACCAUCUACUUAUCAUUGUACCUUAGAAGUCAGCUCCAAAGAUUUGCGGUAGAGUUCGUUUUCAGGUUGCUGCAAACAAUAAAAGAAAAUUCUCACGUUACAGCACAAGAAAGAUGAUGAUAUUGUAAUAGUAUUACCUCGUCAAGAGCUUGUUGAAAGUAGUGAGAAGCUUUCUGAAAGUGAUCGGCAGCGACGAUUUCAUCAGGAAUCAUAAAGCCAUAUGAAGUGUGGACAUUCCCAAUGCACCAAAGCGCAGCGUGCUUCUUCGGAUCGAUUGACAAGGCCUCUUCCAGCUUCGAUAUGGCAUCUACACAAACCAAAAUUAAUUUAUCAUUCAUUCUAAAAAAAAGAAGCUAAUAAUAAUUAAUCUGAAUCUCCACCUAGAAGCAUUUGCUUUGAGGCUGUGGGGUUCUGAAACUGGGAGAGUUCUAAUAAAGCUCCUCCCCAUCUCAACAAGUUCUGCAGAAAUUCAUUAAAAAAAAAAGGUGGAGACUUUAUCAAUUUUCUUUAGAGCCAAUCAAAAACGAAUCUUAAAGAUUAGGGAGAAUACGAACAUCGGCAUCUAGAGGGUUUUUGAUGUAAGUAGCUUCUGCUGCUUUCCGAGCAUGUUCGAAGAACAUCAAUCUCUCGAUUUCUCCCUGCAUAUCCAUUCUUUUCUCUCGAGCUUCCACAGAACAACCAAGGUUACAAAAUUGCCAGAGGAUCGUUUUCUUUAGGGUUUUUUUAAUGGGGAAUUAAUUAAUGAGAAUUUAGUCCCUACAGAAAACCAAUAUUAGUUUAAAUGCGUUUUCUUUAGAGUAUUUGCAUUUCAUAUACAAAGAUUAUUGUGUAUUUGGAUAACUACCUGUAACUAUUAUUUAUGGAUUGACUGUCUAUCCCCAUCCCAAGACACAUUAACCCUACUUAUUUUCCUCCCGCCUAACUAUCAACCUUUUCGUAAAUCCACCUCAUCAUAUACUUUCUCUUUAAAUCUCCCCUCUUCAUAAAUUUUUUUUUUGAAGCUAGAAUACCUCCUGCUUGUUAUAGACGACCUUAACUUCCUAUGACUUCAUUCUAAUCACCUAUAAAUAGAUCCUCAUGCCGUAGUUCUUUCCUUACAUCAAAAACCUAACCAUAGGCAUUCCAAGUGCACCAGAGCCUUAAAGUAAACCUUCUAGUCUUUAGCUUUCCUUUUAUAUUUAGUUUCUAGUUCUUUAUUUAGAUUUAUGAUUAGAUCCUGAUUUUGACUUACAUAAAAUCAAAAAUCUGUUUGUUUUAUGAUUAUGAUCUAGAUGGGGCUUGUUCUCUGGCAGACAACAUUGGCCAAAAUGAUCACCUUGGUGCGUAAUACACAAUGGUGAUUAAUUGAUUGUUUUCAUUAGAACUUGUGUCUUCGUUUGUGGUUGUUAAUUACAGAAAACAAUUAUUUAUGGAAAGAAGAACACCUCAGCGAUCAUAAAGAUAACAGCGUGUGAAGGGUGGAUGUUUUGGAAGUGGAAAGUCUGAAAGCUCAAAUUACUUGAAUGUUUUUUCCACUCUGUGUGCAUGAUGGAUUAAUUGAUUGGAUGAUGAUUGAUGCAUAUUGGGAGAUAAUUUAAUUGUUAGAGAAUUUCGACUCACCCAGCAAAUUAGUUGCUAAUUAGUUUUGCGGGAAACUAUAGGAGUAUCUUAGGUUACGAAGGAGCAGUAAUGCUAGCGUUGUUUUUAUGCGUUUUACAAAUAAGUAUGCAUUGUAUAAGUAUUAAGUUUAAAAGUAGUGCCUUAUAUAUGAUUGAUGUUGUUUGAACCUAAUAAGUAUUAUAUGAAUAAUAAAAGUUUAUGAAAUGCUUGGGUAUCAUCACGAAUAUUCAUCAGAUCUCCUCUACUUUCUCUUCUAUUGUCUUCAUCCACAUCUCUCGUGAUCAAAACCGAAAGUCAGACCGGCUGGCUAAAAGAGCCUUGGCCCAGCUACGCUCUAUCUCUUUUCCGAAUUUCAUGCAAUCCCUAAAUGGACCAAACUAUUUUUGGGCCUUCCUCCUAUCUUAAUGAAAACUAGAUCUUGACCCGCACAUCUGUGUGGGUUUUUUCUAUACUAAAAUAUUUUAGUUUAUAUAACAAAAUUUACCAAUAAUUUAAUGUAAUUUAGUAUUAUAUAAUAUAUAACUCUAUAAUACCGAUGUUUAUGUGGAUUAUAUAUUAUGACGAUGAAUUUUUUGUAUUUUUGUACCAAAUAUUAUUUUGAAAAAAAUUAUUAGGUAAAAAUACUACUUUACAUAUUUUUAUUCCUAAAUUUCAUUUUUAUAUGGAUAAAAAUAAUUUGGACCUAUCUAUAUAGUAGAGAAGAUAACUUUUGCGAUAAUGUUAAAAACAACAAUAGAUAUUUUUAAGAAGUAAACUAUAAUACAACGUACUUCAAAAUAAAGUAAAGAUCAUAUUUGAGAAAAUACUUGAAAUACAAUAAGUUGGAUAAAAACAUUUCUUUUAAUUUGAAAUAGAAAUGAAUCUUUCUAACAAAAUAUUUUUGAAAUCUUUGUAAAAUGUUUUUUUUUAAAUUAAUCAGUUUAAAUUGUUAUUAUCAUUAAAAUAUAAAUAAAAUCCUUCAUAUACUUUUAAAUUGUCGAAUAAUUAUAUAUUGAUGGAAUAAUAUAUUUUCGAAAUUAAUAAAAUCUAAUAAUAUUUUGAUUGAAUAAAAAGAGAAUUAAAUAUGUUGUUGGGAUUUUAUUAUGAACAUACAAAAAAGUUAUGUAAAAAACUUUCUAGGAAAUAGUCCAUUUAAAAAUAUCACACAUGAAAAUAUCACACAUGAAAUAAGUCAUGAUUUCUACUUUAAUAGUAUAGAUGUUUGGUGCACAAAAAAGUGAAAUGUUUGGGUUCCAUGUAUUAUUAGUCUAGUCUAGGAUGAACCAACAAAUGGUUUCAAAUUUGGAUUACAAAACCUUAACUUGGAACCGGUAGGAAACCCAUUUUUAGAUAUUUGACCUUGGGAUUUUUGAGUUGAUGUAGGAUAUUUGGAUCAAAUGUUUCGGUCCGUGGUAGUAACAUUUUUGAUCGGGUUAAAAGAAAUUUGUUGGUCGUAUAUGUUCUUAUUUGUAACAAUUUUGAUCGGGUUAAAAGAAAUUUGUUGGUCGUAUAUGUUCUUAUUUGAUUAUUAAACGGAAAACUAAUCAUAUUAGUUGAAGGCUCCUACAUCAGAUACAAAUAUUCUUCUCAUAGUCAAGCUCAUCUUUCAAAUAGUUAUAUACAUGGUCUGGAGAGAAAGAAAUUCUAGAUUGCAUACGAACUUAUGCAGACCUCUUCAGGCAAUUAUUCAGGAAAUCAAGCAAACUCUAAGGCUAAGGCUUGACCCACUGUCUCGGGACAUGAGGACCACCAAUAGCUUUUCUCUUACUUUUUUGGGAUCUUGGUUAAUUUUUUUAGGGCAUUGUUAAGUCUCUGGUAUAGUCUCCCCCUCUGGUUUACAAGGCAGGUGAUCUAUGCUUGUAAUCAGUUCCAUUAAUUUUGAAUAAAGAGUAGUUUUAACAAAAAAAAAAAAAAAUUCUAAUAGGGGUGUUACAGUCAUAUCACAUCCCCAAGGUCGAGGAAUUGCAUAACAAACUCGAAGAGUGUACGUACCAUAGGCGGUGAGUCGAUGCCGUGUUCAAUACUACCAUCUUAUUAAAAAUAAAAUAAUGUUGUCGCCAAUAUAUUUGUCUAACUUCAUACUCCAAGAAAAUAUGCAAAUCUCAGUAUGCAAUUAUUUAAUACUGGAAAAUGCAAAUUUAUCACGAGAAGACUUGUGCAGCUGGAGAUCUAUAUUGUUUCAUUUCUAAUAUAUAACAUUGAUCAAACCCAUAGAAUCAUUAUUUCAAAAUAGCAUUUGUUCGUAUAGACUUUGAAUAUCAUUUUUAGAUAUAUAAGAAUCGCAAGUUACAAGUGAUUGUCAAAGAGAAAUCGACAUCUAGAAAGAAAUAAACAACUCAUAAGGCCAAAAUAACAAGCUGGAGAAUUUUAUUUUGGAAUGUCGGUGUAAUUUCGAAAACAUUACAACACUCAAAUCAACAUCUUUAAACUCUCAAAGAUAAGAUUCAUCCUUUUUCAUAACGUUGGGGUCUUCUGGACUGGUCUUGUUCAGUUACAACCAAUGAUCAACCAAGACAUUGUGUGUGUGUGUGUUUUUCUUAUAUAAAGCAUUAAAGCUUCUAUAUAUUUUCAAGUUAUAAUUGGUUCAUGUUAUCAUCAUCUCGAUUCGUAGGAUAAAAAGCAAAAAUCAAAAACUCACAUGAACCAUGACGAGGUACGUGUCCCACAAAUGAGACCAGCCAGUUGAAAUAGAUCUGACAUCCGCUAACACUGUGAUCACUUGUGGCCCCAAUGAAAACAAGAUCGUUGUCAAAAGGACUCUACAAGUGGACACAUGGUCUCCACAGUUGCCACGUGUAUGUUCAUCUGUAUGUCCCCAAUCUGCGGCGAAAUUGACGUUAAAGAAAAUACAUCAUAGAAUCCUUUUUCUUUGUUUGNNNNNNNNNNNNNNNNNNNNNNNNNNNNNNNNNNNNNNNNNNNNNNNNNNNNNNNNNNNNNNNNNNNNNNNNNNNNNNNNNNNNNNNNNNNNNNNNNNNNNNNNNNNNNNNNNNNNNNNNNNNNNNNNNNNNNNNNNNNNNNNNNNNNNNNNNNNNNNNNNNNNNNNNNNNNNNNNNNNNNNNNNNNNNNNNNNNNNNNNNNNNNNNNNNNNNNNNNNNNNNNNNNNNNNNNNNNNNNNNNNNNNNNNNNNNNNNNNNNNNNNNNNNNNNNNNNNNNNNNNNNNNNNNNNNNNNNNNNNNNNNNNNNNNNNNNNNNNNNNNNNNNNNNNNNNNNNNNNNNNNNNNNNNNNNNNNNNNNNNNNNNNNNNNNNNNNNNNNNNNNNNNNNNNNNNNNNNNNNNNNNNNNNNNNNNNNNNNNNNNNNNNNNNNNNNNNNNNNNNNNNNNNNNNNNNNNNNNNNNNNNNNNNNNNNNNNNNNNNNNNNNNNNNNNNNNNNNNNNNNNNNNNNNNNNNNNNNNNNNNNNNNNNNNNNNNNNNNNNNNNNNNNNNNNNNNNNNNNNNNNNNNNNNNNNNNNNNNNNNNNNNNNNNNNNNNNNNNNNNNNNNNNNNNNNNNNNNNNNNNNNNNNNNNNNNNNNNNNNNNNNNNNNNNNNNNNNNNNNNNNNNNNNNNNNNNNNNNNNNNNNNNNNNNNNNNNNNNNNNNNNNNNNNNNNNNNNNNNNNNNNNNNNNNNNNNNNNNNNNNNNNNNNNNNNNNNNNNNNNNNNNNNNNNNNNNNNNNNNNNNNNNNNNNNNNNNNNNNNNNNNNNNNNNNNNNNNNNNNNNNNNNNNNNNNNNNNNNNNNNNNNNNNNNNNNNNNNNNNNNNNNNNNNNNNNNNNNNNNNNNNNNNNNNNNNNNNNNNNNNNNNNNNNNNNNNNNNNNNNNNNNNNNNNNNNNNNNNNNNNNNNNNNNNNNNNNNNNNNNNNNNNNNNNNNNNNNNNNNNNNNNNNNNNNNNNNNNNNNNNNNNNNNNNNNNNNNNNNNNNNNNNNNNNNNNNNNNNNNNNNNNNNNNNNNNNNNNNNNNNNNNNNNNNNNNNNNNNNNNNNNNNNNNNNNNNNNNNNNNNNNNNNNNNNNNNNNNNNNNNNNNNNNNNNNNNNNNNNNNNNNNNNNNNNNNNNNNNNNNNNNNNNNNNNNNNNNNNNNNNNNNNNNNNNNNNNNNNNNNNNNNNNNNNNNNNNNNNNNNNNNNNNNNNNNNNNAAAGAGUGUUUACAAGAAGAAUUAAUAUACAAAUUUGGGCUUUUCUUAAUUGAUAAACUUACCAUCAGAAAGACAGAAACCGUAAAUGUUAAAAAUAGUUUUGGCACAUGGAAAGAAGUCAAUACAUGUCAAUGCCUAAUUGGUAGCAGUCCUUAGAGCAUCUACAUUGGUGAACCCCCCUUUGGGGUUCAUACCAAUUUUUUAAUAUAUUUAUGGUGGGACCAUGAAUAGUGAUGAACUUCUUGAUUUUGUACUUCUCCAUUAGUGAACCCGAAGAAGGGGUUCAUAGGAACUAAAAUAAUAGUUUUUUUAAAAAAAUUUAGUUUUGAUUUUUUUUUUAAUACAUGAAUAAAAUAUAAUAAUUUAUAAAAUUUUAUUCAUUACAUUGAUAAUUGAUGAACAUAGAAAGAUUAUUCAUUACCGAAUUUUUGCCAUACAUUUUCAACUAAAUCAGCUUUCAACCUAUCAUGUUUUCCUGAAUCCCGAAGUUCAUUGCGCAUGCCUAGCAUAUUAUGUGCAUGCAAACUUUCUCUCGUUUUGACCUUCGAACCUCUGCUUGACUCUCCUGACUCGAACUCAGAUGUAUCAGUAAGACUGUAUCCGUCUCGUUCGUCCUCCACUAUCAUAUUGUGCAAUAUGACACAAGUUCUCAUAAUUUUCCCUAUCUUUUCCUUGUCCCAUAGUAGAGCAGGGUUUUUAACUAUUGCAAACCUCGAUUGCAAAACCCCGAAAGCACGUUCGACAUCUUUUCUGGUGGAUUCUUGACGUUGGGCAAAUAGCUCAGCUUUAGGACCUUGAGGAAGUGGGAUGGAUUGGAUAAAUGUUGACCAAUUCGGAUAAAUUCCGUCAGUAAGGUAGUACGCCAUACGGUAAGUGUGGUUGUUGACCUUGAAUUUAACUUUAGGGGCUCGACCUUGCAGUAUAUCAUCAAAAACUGGUGACCGAUCAAGAACAUUGAUAUCGUUGAGGGUACCUGGUAAUCCGAAAAAUGCGUGCCAUAUCCAAAGAUCUUCUGAUGCCACAGCCUCUAAGACAAUUGUUGGUUUUCCUGAACCACGGGUGUAUUGGCCUCUCCAAGCCGUUGGACAGUUCUUCCACUGCCAAUGCAUACAAUCAAUGCUGCCUAUCAUCCCGGGAAACCCGCGCUUCUCGCCAAUGUCGAGUAAUCGUUGAAGAUCUUCCGGUGUUGGUGUUCUUAGAUACUCAACUCCAAACAAUUGUACUAUCCCAUUAGUGAAAUGUUCUAAACAUAAAAGUGCAGUACUUUCACCAAGUCGAAGAUAUUCGUCAUACGUAUCUCCAGAUUGACCAUAUGCGAGCAUACGUAUAGCUGCAGUACAUUUUUGAAGUGGUGAUAGGCCGUACCUGCCGUGAGCAUUUCUUCUUUGCUGAAAGUAUGGAACUUCAGUAGUAAGGCGAUCAACAAUGCGGAGGAACAAGGGUUUGUUCAUUCGAAAACGCCGCCUAAACAUCACCGGCGGGUAAGUGGGAUUUUCGUGGAAAUAGUCGUUCCAUAGUUGAAUGUGUCCUUGUUCCCGAUCUCUUUCAAUAUAAGCUCUUUUUUUGGGCUUGUUGGUUUGAACAUCUAGUAGGGAGUCGAUGAUAUUAUCAAAUUCUUCGUCAAACAUAUCUUCAAAGGCUUCAUCAACGCCAUCUGACUCUGAGGAUGUCAUAACUGAAAAAAACAAAUAUUUUAAAUAUCUCUACGAAUAUCAUAUUUUCGUUUUUAAUUAUAACAUUAAUUAAAAAAAAAAAAAUAAAUCUUGGAAUGUCAUAUUUUCGUUUUUAAUUAUAACUUAUAUGUGGAACCUUAAUUUUUUUUUUUUCAAUAAAUCUUGGAAUUUCAUUUUUUCGUUUUUAAUUAUAACUUAUAUGUGGAACAUUAAUUACAGACUAUAGAUAACAAAACAAAGAAUUUUAGAUUUUACUUGGUCACUCGAUUUUGUAGUCGGCGAGUGUCUAGUGGUUGGCUGGUUCGACAGAACAAGAGUGAGGCAGCUGGUUUGAGAGAACAAGAGUAAGGCGGAUGGUUUGAGAGAACAAGAUGGAGGGGUAUCGACCUUGAGAGAACUAUGAUUUGUAGAUACAGAGAAGAGAACUAUGCUUUGGCAUUUGAGAGAAGAGAACAUAAACACAUGUUAGAGAGAAGAGAACAUAUAUGAGAGACAUGAAAUACUUGUCCUUUUUAUAACAAACUUUUACAAGUCCCGUGAAGUGUAGAGACAAACAAAAUACUACACUUCAUAUUACAAUCCGUGACACCAAGUUCAUCACUAGUGUCUAGUACAAACACUGACCUGCUGCGACCCAAAAGAUACAUGUAGUACUACAACUACAUGAACAACCCGUGAACUACUACUACUACAAUACCCGUGACACCUACAAAACCCAUCAAGUCCAGACUUUAUCUCCCAUAUGCCCGUGACCAACGGCCCCACAGAUCCUUUCACCUGCAAAAUAACACAGAAGAAUAUAAGUUUCAAGUCAACAAAAGCAGUUGUAAAAUUAUCAAAGCAAGUAAAGAAGCAAACAAAGAGUUCAAGAAAUUUUCAACUAAACAACCUAAAGCAUCUCAGAAACAAGUUUGUCCUUCAAAGCGACCUCAGCUUCAGUUAGAGUAGCUAUGUUCUUAGAGAGGAGACGAUCAAGUAUUUUCUGUUUCGAAAUAUUCUGUUUCUUCUCUAGAAUGAUCUCCAGGCGAUCAAAUGCAGCUUCAUUGCCAGGCUUCUUGCGUUUGGCUGCUUUGCAAGCCUUAACGCCAGGAGGCCUAGCCUCAUCCGAGUCAGGCACCGUCUCCGCAGCUUCCUUCAUUUUCGCCUUUCCACCAUCUCUUGAUAUAGAGUUCGAUCUCCACUUCUGAUCAUACCUCAGCUCCCUCCACGCGUGUUCAAGUGCAAACUUCGCCUGGUGGUCGUUAAAGAAGAUGUCAUGAGCUGACUUCAUGACAUCGUUCUCGUUCUGCCCACUUGAUUGCUCCUUCAAUGCUGCCUCAUAGCUUCCCACAAAUUUACACACUUGUUCAUUCACCCUUCCCCACCUCUGCUUACACUGACUCCACUCUCUAGGUAGAAAGCCACCUAGCUGAGCGCUUGCAUUAAAGUAAUCCUCUAUUCUUCUCCAAAACGACCCUAGUUUCUGCUGGUUACUAACUAUGGGAUCUUUGCUUGUGUUUAACCAGGCACUGAUGAGGAUAAUGUCUUCUUGAGUCGUCCACUUUCUCCUUUCACCAGCCGGUUUAGGAACCUCAGACGACCCUACUUCUACGGUUUUACUGGACUGGGAAGAUAAUAGGUUCACAAAACCGGGAGAACUUUGUGAAAACGUAUCCAUUUUGGUUUGGGGUUGUGUUUUGUUGUUUGUUAGAAGUUUUAAAAAGGAUUAUGUAUUUUUUAAAGAACUACUUGCGUUUGAGUUACGGGUGGUUUCCUAACUACCAAACAUUCAUUACACUUAAUUAGACAACAACUUGUUCACAGACAUUCAUUACACAUCAAAUCAAUUCUAAAAAACUCUAAAACGUUUAAGACACAGCAAUUUAAGCGCAUUCAUCACAGCAACCAACCAGAGGAACCAAACUAGUACUAGAUAUUUAAUGAAGUACUACUACACUCCCUACUCUAGAUAUUUAAUGAACAAGUUAACUCUCAGUUCAACCAGAGGAAGCAAGUAACCACACGGAAACAGUUCCUACUCGAGUUCCUAGUUAAGUCUCAGUUUCUACUCUACACGGAAACAGUUCCUACUCAAGUUCCUAAUGUAUUAUAGACAGUUCCUACUCAAGUUCCUAGUUAAGUCUCAGUUUCUACUCUACACGGAAACAGUUCCUACUCAAGUUCCACACGGAAACAGUUCCUACUCGAGUUGAAAGUUUACCUGUUCUGUUUCAGUCGAAACAGGCCUUCUCCAGAGCAGCCGCCUGGACUGUGAGGUUAUAGACGUCACCAGUGAGCUUAUCAAGCAGCAAUGUGAGCCUCUUAACCUGUGCCUACAUAAGAGAUAAAGAAAACUUGUAACUCACUUAUAAAAACGUAAAAAGUGUUCACAAAUUUGAUGAUCUCAAAUUUGAUGAUCACCCAAAGAGAUAAAAAGUGUUCACAAACCUCAAGACUGUCGAUCUGUUUAGUGAGAAUGGGCACACAUUUGAUGAUCUCAACAGCCUCAUCCACACGCUCACGCAUGCGUACCAUCUCCUCCUGGACACCUAUAACCCAAGGCUGACGGUAAUGCAACCCAUCAGCCUUGGUUAAACCACGGAAACAUCAGUCAGACAACAUAUUUAACUAGAAAAUUUAGACAACAUAAUAAGACAUGUGAGAUUAAUGAAGGGAAUGCGAAUGAUGUGGGUUACCUCGUAGUUUAUGCAGCUGAAGAAGCGCUUCCCGGGACGCGUGUCGUACUCCUCCUUCACCCGAACCUCGUCGAUGAUUCUACCACCACACGGACAGCUUGUCGGCAUCCCAUAUGACGAAUCGGCAACGUUGUACAGGUGGUCGAUGAACUCCUGCUUCCUCUUAAAAUCUGUUAUCUCGUCUGAGGGAUCCAUCUGAAACAGAGAAAUGAAAUUGAUUAACCCUUUUCUAUUGAAUCAAAAAUAAUCAAAACCGUGAAUCGAUUGAGACAAAAGUAGUCAAAACCGUGAAUCGAACCCAGUACAAGAUCUAAACCCACUUAUCGAAACCCCCAAAUUCUAUUUUGAACCCUAACUCGAAAAACCCUUUUCGAUUUCCAAUCCGCGAGAAUCGAACCUUAAAACUAUAAAUCGAACCCGUAGACGAGGUAAUACAGCAUUAAAUCAAAACCCUUCUCGAUUUCGAACCCUAAAUCGUAAAAAAAAAAAAUUGAAAUUUCCCCUAACUCGAUUUCGAAACCAAAACGACAUCAAUAUAAAGGAGAUUCCAGUCGAGACCCACCUCUGUUAGUAGAGGAGACAAUAACUCGUCGAAUCGAUGGAGCAAAUUCGAGAAAUAGGGACAGAGAUCGUCGUCGCACGGGGUUUCGCCGGGAGGAAGAAACCCUAGAGUUUUCGAGACAAAAGAGAGAAAUGAAUCUCUCUCCCCUUUCCACCGCGUGACGUCGACGCCGCGUCUCCAAUCAAUUCGCGACACGUGGUGUGAACCCGUAUCGGACGGGGUCACUCGUAAGGGGCGGGUCGCGAGAAAUAACCCAUUUAAUCUUUAUUUUUAAUGGUCCGGCCCUAUGAUACUGAGCCCAUGAACCUGUCUAAAACCUCUAAUGGGGCUGCUCUAAGAGUCGUGUUUACAAACUUAUUUAGUGUUACUUGCAAGUCAUGGCCAGCAUUCGCUCAUAUGUUUGUAAAAAGUAUCUUAAUCGACUAGCAUUAUGAUAAGAUUUGACCUGUAAAAACUAUAUUCAAUUAGAUAUACUAACGAUGCUGUUCCAAUGGAGCUGCGACAUAACAUAUAUAUUGUUACAAGAUUUAUUAUGUCAACUGUAACUUGACACCUCAUUACACGAACCAUUGUCCUUUUCUUUUGUGUCGUUGGACUUGGAUCUCUCGCUUUUCACAUGUUUUGGAAUAUUUGUUUCGUGCCUACCAAAGCGGUGUUUAUGAAGAUCUUUUAGUUUUUUUCCAGGAAAAAAAAAGCUAAAAACAAGAGAAAAUCCAAUAGCAAGAUCAACGAAUCUGAUCCUCAAGGCUUACAGUUACAUGAUGCACUAAUAAAGAGAUGAGAGAUAAAAGUGCAUUACAGCAACGCAAGGGUAUGGACCAACAAUAGUAUUUCAACUGACACUUAAUUUUUUCAUCUGUGCUUACGAUAACUUGUUAGAUAAGUGAUCUAACCGAGCCAUCCCUUACGGCUUUGCAUGCACUAGGCAAAGAAAUUAGAAUUUGCAAAAAAAAAACAAUCGUUUUCCAAAAACAUUACAAUAGAAAUAUGAACUAACGAAGCGUUAUAAACUUAUUUCUAAAGAUCUUUCAGUUUUAAUAACACACACAAAAAGGAGAAACGGAUAUAUAUAAUUUACACAUCGACAAAUAAAAAAUCUUUUAAAGCCAAUCCCUUACGGAUUAAGUAGAAGUACACAAAUGUUAAACGGACUCAGUGACCAGUUUCCAACUGUUGUUUGGUUCACCACCUGACACAACACUACUCUUUUCUAAGCUUCUUGUUGGAUCGCACGUCUGAGCCUUAGUCCAGUAUCCGCAUCUCCCUCACGUCCUAUCAAAACCCCACCAUCUCCUCCAGCAUCCUCACUGCUCUGGUUUAGGUUUUGGUUAGCCAAGGCAGCUUCCCCAAAGUUAUGGAGCCUCCGACCAAUGAGAUAACGGUCAUCACGGAUGGAGUUGUGAAGGUUUCUGAACCAGACGUGGCAUCUCUUUGCGCAGAAGCAAAAGAGGCUCACCGAGAGACAACCUAUCCAAGCGAAUCUGUAGACCGCCGAGUUCACAACUAGUGGAUAGCCGAGCAUCGGGAACA